rnacentral:lncRNA from 1 species
GGUACUAUAUGUAGGUUUAGUUAGGCCAUUUCCUCCUUAAGCUCAGGAGCCAUUCCUUCCGUCCUCAAAUGAUUGCAAUGGCUCUUCCGACUCAAAGCGUCGGCCACCACGUUUGCCUUGCCGGGGUGAUAGUGAACCUCCAAGUCAUAAUCCUUGAUUAAUUCCAACCAUCGCCUUUGCCUCAAGUUGAGAUCUGACUGGGUGAAAAUAUACUUCAGACUCUUGUGGUCAGUGUAGAUAUCGCAAUGAUUUCCAAUCAGAUAAUGUCUCCAAAUCUUUAGCGCAUGAACCACAGCUGCAAGUUCUAGGUCAUGGGUAGGGUAGUUUUUCUCAUGUGGUCGCAAUUGUCGCGAUGCAUAGGCCACAACCUUUCCGUCCUGCGUCAGUACUCCUCCUAGUCCUUGCCUUGAUGCAUCACAAUAUAUAACAAAGUCUUUCCUGAUGUCAGCAAGAACUAAAAUAGGCGCAGAGGUCAACUUUUCUUUGAGCUGCUCAAAGCUUUCCUGACACUGUUCUGACCACACAAACUUCUUUUCCUUCUUGAGUAGUUGUGUCAUUGGUCGGGCUAUCUUAGAGAAUCCUUGAAUGAACCUUCGGUAGUAUCCGGCCAAACCUAGAAAACUCCGAAUCUCAGUCACAGAUUUGGGUGCCUUCCAUUCCGUAACGGCCUCAACUUUAGCAGGAUCCACUGCUACUCCACCGGCUGAGAUUACGUGGCCUAGAAAAGCGACUUCUUUUAUCCAGAACUCACAUUUACUAAACUUUGCAUAUAAUUUAUGCUUCCGAAGUUCCUCGAGUACCAAUCGCAAGUGUUCCGCAUGUUCUUCCUCAUCUUUGGAGUAAAUUAAAAUAUCAUCGAUGAAUACUACCACAAAUUUGUCCAAGUAAUCCAUGAACACUUUGUUCAUGAGAUUCAUAAAGUAUGCCGGGGCAUUGGUUAAACCAAACGACAUUACGGUGAACACAUACAAUCCAUAUCUUGUUGAGAACGCGGUUUUGGGUAUAUCCCUAGUCCUAAUUUUCAAUUGGUGGUAUCCUGAUCGAAGGUCAAUCUUAGAGAACACCUUAGGUCCUUUGAGUUGAUCAAAAAGAUCAUCAAUCCGUGGUAGUGGAUACUUGUUUUUGAUAGUUACUUCGUUCAGUGAGCGGUAGUCCACACACAUUUUCAUGCUACCAUCUUUCUUCUUGACGAAUAGCACUGGGGCUCCCCAAGGUGACGAACCGGGGCGUACAAAUCCCUUUUCUUGCAACUCUCUGAUUUGCUUUUUAAGUUCCUCCAACUCAUUGACUGGCAUCCGAUAAGGUCUCUUGGAUAUGGGAGCAGUACUGGGUAUCAGAUCAAUAAUGAACUCUAUGUCACGAUCUGGUGGCAUCCUAGGUAAAUCUUCUGGAAACACAUCGGGAAAUCGUUGCACUACAGGCAUUCCUUUCAGGGGUAGCAUGGUAAAUAUGCCUCCGGCACGUUCGGUUAGUCUAGGAUCUUGAUCCAUAGUUGCUCUCAUAUCCGAUCCCCAGGGUGUGGUCAGGGUAACUUCCCUACGUCUACAGUCGAUUACCCCUCUGUUCUUUGUUAACCAAUCCAUAAUCAAUAUGACAUCUAGGGUCUGGGGUAUCAAAACCAUAAGGUUGGAGGGAAACACCACAUCCCUAAGAUGAAUAGGUACGUCUAUGCAAGCAUGACUCACAAUUAUCUCGCCCCCAGGUGAGUGUACUAUCAUAGGUUUUCUAAGUCCCACUAGGGUUAAGUUGUGCUUUUGACUAGCCUUCAAAGAUAUGAAUGAAUGCGAUGCACCAGAAUCGAAGAGGACUUUAACCGGGACAGAAUUGAUAGAGAACAUACCCAUUAGUACGCCCUGAUCUUCCUGGGCCUCUUCAGCUCGAACAUGGUUCACUUGUCCGCGUCCAAAUCCGAUAGUGGUCCUAUUAGUUUGCGGAGUCUUGAAUAGACCUCGUCCGGCAGCAGGGGUAGUAGUUCCACGAACAGUCAUUGCAUUAGCACCAGUACGGACAGGAGUUUUGCGUGGAUGAGGGCAGUUGUUGGUGUAGUGCCCAUACUCCCCGCAAUUGAAGCAGUCCACAUUCUUCUUGGCUCCAGGGGCAGCCAGAGUUGGCGUAGGGGUGCGGUUCUAAAUCGCAACCAGCCUGUUGAAAUUGCUAGGUGCGGCGGGGCGGUUGGUCGCCACAAUAGGGGGUUUCCACCCAGACGAAGUGGCUCCCUUGAGUCGCUGAAGCAAUCCCUGAGGUGGGCGAUUCAUAGCAAGCCUCCUCUUGCGGUUGUGCUCUACAGUCCUUUGAUCGUUCUCCAGCCUAACGACCUUGUUGAUUAGGCUCUGGAAACUCUCAUGAUCUUGCCCAAUCAUAGGUCCACGCAACUCAUCAUUCAGCCCUUCUAUGAACUUGUCGAUCUUUUCUUCUUCAUCUGCGAGGUCUCCAAUUGCAUAGCGGGCAACCUGAGUGAAUCGGUUCAGAUAUUCCUGCACCGUUGUGUUCCCUUGUCGCAGCCUUCUAAACUCGUUCUUCUUCAUACGCAUUACCGCAGCAGGCACGAAGUUCUCGUGGAAUGCUGCAGUGAACUCUUCCCAAGUGGGUUCUCCAGCAUCCUCUUCCCGAGCUUCCUUGUAAGUAUCCCACCAAUCACCAGCGGGUCCCUCCAGUUGGUUUACUACGAAGAUCACUUUGUCGGCUUCGCGUACCCGGACAAGGGUCAGUUUCUUCUCUAUGAUACGUAGCCAAUCUUCUGCCUCCAUAGGCUCGUCUGCCAUAGCGAACGUGGGUGGCUUGGUCCUCAUAAACUCUCCAAAGCUCGAUCCUCCGCGGUUGCUUUGGUUGUUUGCAAUGGCUUGCAGAAGUUGGGUUUGAGUAGCCAUAACUCCGGCCAGGGUGGUUAGGUCAGGUGUCUGAGUUUCUUCAUUGAUGGUUGACGCCCGACGUCGGCUGGCCAUCUGUGUAGGCCGAUAAAGUAAGUAUCCUAAUUUUCUAACUAGCUCUUAUGGUUUUAUCCCAUUAAGGGAAUUGUUUUGAUGUGAACUUUGUUUUGCAAGCAUGGUGGAAUAAACUCAUUUAUAACACAAUAGCAAUAAUAUCAUAAAUAACAUCACAGAGGUCCACAAAUAGUACAUAAAUCAUGAUGCAAUUGACUGCACACAUACGCAGUCCAAAUAAGGUUCGUCCAAAAGAUACAUCAACUAACCAUCAAGCUACUCGUCAAUCUAGGUAAGAAAAAGGGGGUGUGUGUGUCUCGCAUACUAUCCAAAAACCAUCUGAAGCGAGAUCGAAGCUGCAAUAAUCCUCCAGUCUAGUCAUCCAACCAUCCGCAGGAUCCUGGGGCAGGUAGAGGGUAGUCGCUGGCACGGGCAAACCUGAGUCCCCACGGCUCGGAAAUAGUGGCCUCUGGAUCUGGCUUGGGCUUCUUGCCCGAGGGUCGGGUGCUCUUGCAGGCAGUGCUAAGGGUGCGAGGGCCUCGGAGGAACGUGAUGCAGGGAACGGGGGUCUCAUCCUAUGAAGGAUCAGUGAUGUCUGGCUCGAUCUCUGGCUUGGUAUCGGUCCCCUCUAUCUCAGAGUCGACCUAGAUCGGAGUCUCCAAACUGGAACCCAGCUGCGGAGAAGGUGUAGAGAUCAGUGGAGUGUGCACAAUCUCCGGCGCAGGUGGCUGUGUCACUGUCGGGUCCACCAAGUAAGGAGCUGACUCAAUAGCCAGCAUACCAACCUCUCCCAAAAGAGCGUGGAAUGCUGGUGGGUACGGCGAGGUGAGGAAAAAGUAGCGGUCAUGCCCUACUGCUGUGGAAGUAGAAGCCCCUGUGGUGCUGACCGUGGCUGCUCAAAGCUGCUCCUCCAGCUGGCUGACGUGCUCCUGACUCUCUCUCAGCUGCUCCUCAAGUGUAUCCAUCAUCCCGCGGCGAUCGUUGUACUGGGCAGAUAACUGCUGGAACUAGUCGCCGUGGACCUGGAGCUGUGCCUUCAGUGAGUCUAUCUCACUGCCCCAAGCCUGGUGCUCCUCUUCCAGCUGAAGCUGCUGCGCUGUGAGGUCAGUCACCUCGGUCUCUAACUCUCCCACACGCCUCUGCUGGUCGUCGAUCUCUAACAAAGCCUCCUCGUAAAAGUCGUCUACUGCCUCAGCCCAUCGUGACAAUCGGGUCACUAUCGGGUUGUAGCAGCAAGGUGUGUCCUGAACUGUGCAGAAGGAGUUGCUCUCCUCUCGAAACGGGUGGUGAGCAAACUCAGUACUCGCCAACUCAGCUAGGUGGAUAGAGCUAAGUCGGAGGAAGGCCUCCCGUGCUGCGUCCUGCAUCGCGGUCUCCAGUAAGUCGCGACGGUGGCGUGUCGGGAAGCUGUAGUCUAACUCCGAAGGAACUCGCGUGUGAACCUCGACCCGAACCUCCUAAACAGAUCCACACUGUCUCACUCGGUAGAUCGGAAAUCUGGGGUAUCGCAGACGCCUCAUCAGCCGGUGUAGCUCAAUGACGUAUCCCUCUAAGCGGGGUACGCCCAUCUCCCAGGUAGCGGGUGAAUCCUAAUCUGCCAUCUAAUUUUAAGAAAAACCCAAGGUCAGCUGAGAGUAAAUCUUGUUUAGUGAAGAAAAUAGUUAAGAUUAAGAUGAAAAUCGUACCGAGUUUUGUAAACAUAGUGUUUUUAUUUUUGAAAGUAUUAUUAAAUGGGAAUUUCUCCCUUGGCCAACUUAGAAAAGGGGUGGGGCGCCUUUUUGGUCUUUUCCUACAGUCGUAUGGCUCUGAUACCAGCUUUGUGGACCCCCGUUUUUAUAACAGGAAUCAAUCAUGUAAAUAGUACCAUUUCCCUGGAACAAGUAGUCUGGUACACACGAAUUCAUAGCUGAAAUACCAAGUGCACAUACACGAGUGUCUAGUACGAAUUAUUACAUCAUAAGCCCGCAGGCAUAGUCUUAAAUCAUCGGACCGAGCGGUCCGGAAUACAUUCCAAAAACAGAAGUAGGUAAGGCAGCGGAGUCAAGGCAGCGGCACGCCAUUGCCACAGGCAACGACCGUAACUAAGACCUACUGAGCGCCAUCGUCUUCAUCACCCUCCUGGUAGUAAGCGUAGGGAUCCUCCGAAGCUUCAUCUCCGACCUCUGAUUAAGUUUGUAUAUUGCAAGGGUGAGUACCAACCGUACUCAGCAAGCCACCACAGCAACAAUGUAUAUGACAGGGGUAUUUAAAGGAUGGCUAUGGUUCUUUUGCGCAAAGCAAGUUUUGUAAUUCUUUUCACAAGCCUAAGACCUAGCACAGACUGAUCAAAUUUUAGUAGUAGUGUUCAUAUUAAACAAUGACGGUAUUGUCCACUAUCCAUUGUGAUCCCAAGGAUAGCUUCCCGCCAUUGAGUCGUCAUGGUUUUCUGAGGACGUCCACAUUCCCGCCUCUCAGGAAGUGGCUCCAUCAAUAUAGAAAUCAUCAUGCAAUAUCCCAUCCCACACAAGUUAAGAAUUUAGAGUCUAGCCAAGUGUAAUACAUGUCCCGGUGCUCAAUAACCGCGAGCACGGCUAUUCAAAUAGAUUAGGUUUACUCACACUGUAGUGGAUGUACACUUUACCCGCACUCCGCGACUGCCCAACACAUGAGCCUCGUCCCAACACAUGAGACGCGUCACGGCAAAGCUUUUCGGUAACCUCGCAUUGGCAGUACCCGCUCCAUGAACUUUACAUCCUCAUGCACUCUAGGCGUACAUGGUUUCUAGCAGUGAGAGCAGUUCUGGCGCACCCGGGAAGGGAAGACUCACACAUGCAUUAAGUUAUAAUUAUGUUUAAAUUCUCUCAUGGCAGUCCUACCGAUGGCGACACCACUGUAGACACCCGCCUCGCGGUUCUACCAAUGGCUGCCCCACCGUAGAGCCCCUGCCUCACACAUCAAGAAACCACUAUGCAUGGAUACUGCCUCCGCUCAGCUAUCUAUUCCGCUAGGUCUAUACCCAUACGAGAAGUGCGGUUGUACGGGGGUCGUUUCAUGCUUAACUUCAUGGCUCGGUCCUUAAUUGAUCGGGGAUGGUACUAGCCUUUUCCGGAUACCACCCAAAUCCUCCGUCCGCUCCAGUCGAAAACAGUUGUUUAAUUUUAUUUCUCCUUUCACAAAUCAUGUCAUCAACAUCAUGGCAAUGUGGCGCUCAUGUCUCCACAUGCCGCAUCUCAAUUACCUUCCCAAAAGUAAUUGCCCAAGCAUAUAGCUUUUGAUAAAUAUGAGUAUGCAUAAAUCUAGAGUAGCAUUUCUAAGCAUUUGUCAUAGUUGAUUAGGGACUUAUACGUAAAUCAUGGUUACAAGGAUUUAAGGGUAAACAAUAAUCAAGGCAUGGCAUAAUCACAAGUAGGAUGUUUAUCACUGCGUGUAAUUUUAUUUGUAAACAAAAUAAUUUUGCAAAUGGGAUGAACAUGUUCAAGGAAUAGUGAUGACUUUCCUUGCUCAAAGUCUUGCGGGUCUUGGCCUUCACUUGGAUCCGCAACUCCCUCGGGCUCUAUAGUUACGUGCGAAAAUUGAUUUGAAUUCGGUUAGAAUUCAAAUAAAAAUCCAAAUAAAUCCAAAUGGAAGUCGAAUGCGAAAGUCGAUUCUUUUUUUAUUAACUUUACUAUUCGCGAACUAGGGCAAACCCAAUUUCGAUUUAUACAUCCUAAACUAUUUUUGCGGAUACAAAUAUUUUGUUACCAUAAGUUUUUAAUUUAAUCUACCCGAGCAUUAUAUCCAUAUAAUAGGUUAGAAAUUUCUAUCGCGAGCUAAAUAUCGGACAAAAUCCUAAAAUUAUCUUAUAAUAUUGUACGAUUUAAUUUAGUCUAUGACUAAACGAUUAAAUAUAAUACACGGCUAAAAUUCCUAGUAAUUAAAUCCGAAUAUUUACCGUGAAUCGAUUACUUAUAGACAUUACCCAAAAAUAAUCUAUAAUAAUCUAUAAGAAUUCAUCUAUUUGUUUAGUUAUUAAUUACAUCUAAAUUACUACCGCGAAUUGAUUUCUUAUAGAAAUUACCAAGAAUAAUCCAUAAUUUAUAUUAAAUUUUGCAAUUCUACGACUAUAAUUAAUCUAUAAUUAAAUUCUAAUUAUUUUAAAUUUUCUAAACUUCCCUAAUCUCCCACUAAUUUCUAUUUAUUUUUUUCUUUUCUUUUUCUCUCCUCUUUUCUCUCUUUUCUUUUCUUUUUCCUUCUCUUUCUCUCUUUUCUUUUCUUUUUCCUUCUCUUUCUCUCCCUCCCGGUUUCUCUCCUUCCUUCUUUCUUCUUUCUCUCCCUCGGCUUCUCCCUUCUUCUCUCUCUCGGCUCUCUCUCUACCCGGCGGCAUGGCGACAAACGGGGGGGCAGCGGCUCACCGACGGCGCGCGGCAUGGGAGAUGGGACGGGCGUGCGGCGAGGCAGGGGCGUGGGGCACGAGGCGACGACGCGACGGUGACGACGAUGGCGCGCAGGGCUCAACGCGGCGACGGCAGUGGCGCGCGACGCUUGGCGACGGCAUGCGGCGGCAAGCGGCGAUGGCGCGUCGGCGCGGGCUCAGGGCGGCUAGGGGCAGAGGUGGGAGAGGAGGGGGAAGGCUAGGGACCGCAUCGAACACCUACGCUAUAAUGAACAGUGUAUUUUCCUAUUUAUCCCGAUUUUAGUUUAUUUCCCAUAUAAAUUUGAUUUUAUAAUUUCUAAAUCUUGCAUAAAUGAAGUUUACUCAAUAUUUGUGUUAUCUCAACUAAUGAAUUCACCCUAAAUUAAUAUUACUCAUAUUUUAUUUAUAUAAUUUAUUUGAAUUUUUAAUUAGGGUUAAUUCUUAUUCCAUCGCAUUUAAAUUUAAUUGAUACGAAUAUGAUCGUGAUAAUAUUUUAUUUAUUUCUAUCCACACCUAAUCUUUAUUUUAAAUUAUAUUUAUUUUACCAAUUUACUUUUAGGGUUUAUUCCUAAUUAACUAUUCUUUACUCACGAUUAAUGAACUUCAAAAACAAAUCCAAAUAAAAUAGGCGAAUAAGAUCGGCAUGAUGCAAUUAAGUUAAAAGUUUUCGAAGGUCCGUAUUUUUAGAGUUUUGCUUUUAUUGGUCAAAUUUUCAGGGUGUUACAUUACCGAUAUUCUAUUGCACACUAUAAAUAAUCUGGCCACCUUAGGAAUAUUAUCCCACUUAUCACUAUUUUGGUGGGAGGUGUUGGGGGUGAAUUUUUAUAUGUUUUCAAAGAAAAGAUAGUAUUACUAUUAUAGGGUUGUUUAAUAUGCAACCUUUUCGUAUAUUAGAGGAUCGAUUAGCUUUAAUUUCGAUCAGUUUUUUUAUUUAAUUACUGCCAGGGCUUUGUCUCAGAGUGUGAUUUUCAUUAAAAAGAAAAAUAUUUACAAGAAAAAGGUUACAAGGAAAGCACCUGAAAAAAUUACAAAGUUUGUAACCAAUAAAAAACAACUUGCCUAGGGCAUCAUUCAUUCUACACACUUCUCUCAUGAACAAACUUCUCCAUGCUUCAAAGGAACGUUGCUAGGCAAAUAUGCUAGGCAACAUUGAAGAAGACUUCCAGCACCACUAUUCGGAAGAAAUUGAGAUUAGAAUCUCACAGGAUUCCCAGAUGCCGCCAACAUAAUCUCUGACUAAAAGGAGAGAAGAAGAAAAGGUUCUCUCUUGUUUCUCCAUGACCAUUUGCACAAAGCACGCAUGUCAGAUCAUAAAUUAGUUGUAAAUACGACAACAUGUGACAAAUCUAUGACUUAAACACGUGUAUAUUUCACCGCGCAGUUUAACCCGUGUUUGGAAAAAAAAUGACAGCUCGAACUUCGUUCAAUUUUCUCGUACGUGCUAGACCAUCAAUAUAUUUUCCGAAUACGCGCCGAUUGACUUGGAAUUAUUACUCCAAGCGGUGGAAAAAGAAAGCGGUUCUCUGCACGUCUAUACCUCUUACAUUUUUUCCAAACGGAACUAUUGAAACGUUGAAUAAUAUAAACGACUUUUCUAUGCUUGUUUUCGUAACAGUUUUUAGUGAUAGAUAUUUCACUUUACAAUGGAAAUCGUAAUUUAUAUAUUUAAUAUAUGUACUCCCUCCGUCCACUAAUAUAAGGGGUUUUGACAUUUUAAUUGCAUUGUUUGACCAUUCGCAUUAUUAAAAAAAUAUUAAAAUUAUUAUUUAUUUUAUUUGUGAAUUACUUUAUUAUCCAUAGUACUUUAAGCAUAACUUUUCAUUUUUUAUAUUUGUACAAAUUUUUCUGAAUAAGACGAGUGGUCAAACAGUGCAAGCAAAAUAUCAAAAUCCCUUAUAUUAGUGGAAGGAGGGAGUAUUUUUCAGGACAGAGAUUAAGAAAAAAAACUCAUCGUUAGUUUAAAUUUUUAGUCAAUCUCGGUAAGGAGAAAUGAAAAUGAGAUAAUGAAGGUUCCUUGGUCACUACUGCCAUCAGUGCCAUGCGGCCCUGCGCUGCCUUUUCCAUUACUGGAAAGAGCAGAGUACGUCCAAGAAAGCGAUGUGUCUAGCAAGAAGUGUCAUCGCUUUUGUCCAGGUGAACUCUAGUUUUUCUUAUUUCUAUCUAUCUAAUUAAGUGGUAUAUACCAGUACAUAAUUUGUUUAUUUACGAUGCUAUUUAUCUAGGGACAUAAACGGUAAAAAUCAUGAAAUCGAAAAACAGACCUAAAACAUUUUGUACAUUCAUAAAAAAAUUAUUCGUGAUAUAUACGGUGAACUCUACUAGGCACAGGAUACAUUCACGCCGAAUUUUAACUUCAUACACAACUUUAUUUGUGAGUAAUAAAAACAAAAUUUUCUUGCGAAUAGUGCACUAUGUAAACAUACUUUGGUGCUAGCUGGAACUCCCAUAUAGGUACUGGAUUCCUCAACCAGCACCACGAAGCGGCAUGAUUUGGGAACUUCCUCGAUGCAUUGGCUCGAAUCGAGUCGCUCCCCAUCACCUCUAUACCACCAUCGAUUAAUCCAAUAACAUCUCCGAAAGCACAAUUCAUAUAAAUAUCAACCAAAUAUCGGUUAACAGUUUCAUCAAAUAUUCAUCAGAAACCAACUCCAAGGAGAUGUUGUGUUGUCACUCACUGUAGAGGAGAACUAAUUACAAAAGAGAAUUCUGCCUACCAAUGUUGUUCAUUGGGAUGUCGAGGAUAUCGCCGCCACUGCCACCUCCAUGCGAGAGAGCCAUAGCCGCCACCGGAUCUACCUGCAAGAGAUGUUGCCUCCACUAGAUCCACCCACGGAAGCCGCUAGAUCUGCCCGCAGGAGCUGCGGUUGUUGUAGUUGAUGGAUCCGCUUGAGAAACGAAGGGGGGGAGGGCGUUGGAGUCAGGAGGAAGGGUUGCCUUGGCAUGGAAAGGGGCUGGCAAAGAGGGGAGUGUGGAUAAAGAUGAGGGGGUGGGAGAGAAUAGGAAGGGCGGAGAGGAUAAGGAUGAGGGGAGGAAGGAGAUUGACUAAUUGGCGGACCGGUGGGACGGUGAUUUUGUUCUUCCACAUAAGUGUCGGUUUAAUUAAAAUCCACCAACAAUGACAAUUUAAUAGGUGCUAGUUCUUAUUAGAAAUCAACACCUAUAUCUCCUAGCUAGGACUCAUAGGUGGCAGCUCCUUUAAAAACCGGCACCUACAUCACCACAUUUGUGCUGAUUCUCCCCCAAAGGCAUCCCGGUGGCAUGCUCUUGGGUGAAAAGUGCACUAUAGGUGUCUAAUCUAUAAUUUUCGGCACCUAAAGUGCCGUAUUUUUGUGUUUCUGUUGUAGUGGUAAUUAACCAACACUAUUCAUCUAAAAUUUGUCAUUUUAUAACCAAAUUUAGUUUCGACUUGAGAUUUGGAAUGAAUAUAUUUCAUGCUUUAUGCCAUUCUCAAGUAAUUUCUUUCAUGAAUUUGGAGAACAUUAAAUAUGUUUUUAAUGGGUUUUCACUUAUUUGAUUUAUUCACUGGAUAUUUCACGGUAAUGAGUAUCCGAGAUCUGUAUACCGUGCACGGAAUCCUUGUUUGAUUUAAUUCACUCAAAAAUUACAGAUUUAACUAAAUUAAUACAUGCUAAAAUUUGGAGAAAGAGCGUGUUCUAAUUGGAUGAUUAGAAUAGAAAAUUGCUCAGUUAUAAAACAAAUACUAUAAAUAAAAAAGUUAAAUUAUAUCAUAUUUGUUUUUUAUGGGAUGGAAGAGGGAGUAUAUAUUUCCACGCUGCCCUUUAGUAUACACCUCCAUUAAUUGACCGUAAAUUUAGAAUAAGGCCAGCAUUAGUGGCAGAUAUUAAGAACGCAAUGACACGGCUAUUUAUAGCACGAUCCAAUGCUGUAGAGUAAAGCUGCACAUACCACAGUAGUCUAUCUAGCACGUACGUAGUACAGUAGCUAGAGACAUGGGCGACAUGGUGCUUCUCGCCACGCGCCAAGGGGUAGUCUGCCACAGGCACAGGCUGCCGGUGAUUUCAUGUGCCACAAACACAAAGCCGUCGAGGCUUAAGCUGCCGCCGGGGCCAAGCACGCUGCCGCUGAUCGGCAGCAUCCACCACUUCGUGUCGUCGAGCGAGAGCGUGCACAGUGUCAUGCGGAGGCUGGCCCGGGAGCACGGCCCCGUCAUGCAGCUCUGGUUCGGCGAGGUGCCCACCGUGGUCGCCUCGUCGCCGGAGGCCGCGCAGGAGAUCCUCAGGAGCAAGGACCUGGCGUUCGCCGACCGCCACCUGACCAGCGGCACCGACGCGUUCAGCUUCGGCGGCAGGGACGUCGCGCUGGCGCCGUACGGCGAGCGGUGGCGCCACCUCCGCCGGCUGCUCACGCAGGAGCUGCUCACCGCGGCGCGGGUGCGCUCGUUCCAGCGCAUCCGCGAGGAGGAGGUGGCGCGGCUCGUGCGCGACGUGUCGGCCGCCGCCGCUGCAGCGCCCGGCACGGCCGUGAACCUCACCGAGAUGAUCACAAGGCUGAUCAACGACAUCGUGCUCCGGUGCUCCGUCGGGAGCCGGUCCAAGUACAGCGAUGAGUAUCUGGCUGCGCUAAACGACAUGGUAGGCCAGACGUUCUCGCUCAGCGUCGCCGACCUCUUCCCGUCGUCCAAGCUCGCGUCCAUGGUCGCGACGGCGCCACGGAGGGCGCUGGAGACCCGCAACAAGAUGGAGCGCGUCAUACAGCAAAUCAUUCAAGAACGGAGGGACCAAAUUGAAGCGGACAUGGCGAGCGGCGAUCAGGUGACGGCGGCGGCGGGGAGCAAGUCAUGCUCUCUCGACGUCCUGCUCAGGCUCCAGAAGGAAGGCGGCGCACCGAUGCCAAUUACAAAUGAUGUUAUAGUUGUGCUUUUGAUGGUAAGCCAACAUCACACAUCUCUAUAUAUCCUAUAAUUAAUUGUAGCACGUAGAUUAAUUACUAUAAGAUUUUAGAUGAUAUAUUCUUGUGAUUUUUUAGUUUUCUUUAAUAGUUCAUAUAUAUUUUUUAAUGUUUUACACUGACUUAUUUAGAUGUUUCAAUUAGUAUUUACUUAUAUUUUAUUAGUUCAUUUGCAAAUAUUGCACGUGGUAAUCCAUGAAUGUUUCACCAAGUAAUAUGUGAUGAUUCAAUAGUUACCACAUAAUGUUGCGUUUAUGAACCUUGUUAACUCCACACAAAAGUAGAGUUGAUGGGAGUAGUUUCAAUUGUUACCACAUAAUGUUGCACUUGCUAACCUCACAUGUCCUUUUUUUUCUUAAAAAAAAUAUGGGAAUUAGUGUGGGGUGGUGGUAGAAUCACCAUCACUACUACUCCCAUUUAUAAGGAGUAUAGAUAAUGAUAUUUCAACAAAACAAAGCAAAGGUGGUCCUUGCAAAUAUAUUAUUUCCUUUGAUGUUUCACUAGUUAGGACCCACCGUUCAAGUAGUUGUUGCCAGUGUUGUAGUUAGUACUCCUUAAAUUUUACAUUAGUUUGAAACAUUUUAUGAAGUGAGUUGAAAUAUUUGACUUCAAGUAAUGAAACAAUUUUUUUGUAUGUGGUAAAAUAACACCCGUUUUGUCGACAAAAUUAUUUACGUCAAAAAUAUAAUCAUGUAAGAUAUUAUUGUAAAUGUUAAAUUAUAAGUAAUAAAAUGGUGUGAUCGGAUUAUUAAUUGGAUAAAUAAUUUAGAAAAAAAUGAUUUGAAACUUUCAAAGUAAUUGGUUUUAAAUGGAUAUCAUAUCGGGAGAGCAACCAUCAUGAAGAGAAGAGAAAGAAGUCCUGCAUAACAUGUAUGCAUGCAUGCAGUGGGACUAUGAGACAAGUCUACGAGUACAAAAAAAUGAGCUAUUGAGAUCAAAUGAGCAAAGCAUACACAACAGUACUGUAAGAUAGUAAUUAAACUAGACGAUAUAGUUAUGUUCUGCUGAAAAAAUGGCAUCAUGGUUAGUGCUAAUAGAAUUAUCUUUAAGCUAUGUGUACUGUAGAUCCAUAUUGUGUAAGUUUAUGUAAAAAUGAAUUAAGAAAAAUAAUCAUGUUAUAUAGUUAUUUAAAAAAAUAUUAUUGCAGGAUAUUUUUGCGGGGGGCACCGAUACAUCGUCAACAACACUGACCUGGACCAUGGCAGAACUCAUUCGUUCCCCUAGAGUAAUGGCCAAGGCACAAGCCGAGGUGCGUCAAGCCUUUGAAGGAAAGAACACCAUCACUGAAGAUGACCUUGCCCAACUUAGCUAUCUCAAGAUGGUAAUAAAGGAGUCCUUGAGACUACAUUGUCCAGCACCACUCUUGGCUCCUCGCAAAUGCCGUGAGACAUGCACGAUCAUGGGUUAUGAUGUACCCAAGGGUACAUCUGUAUUUGUGAAUGCAUGGGCAAUAUGCAGGGAUAGUAAGUAUUGGGAGGAUGCAGAAGAGUUUAAGCCAGAGAGGUUCGAAAACAACAAUAUAGAAUACAAAGGGAGUAACUUUGAGUUUCUACCAUUUGGCUCUGGUCACAGAAUAUGUCCUGGCAUUAAUCUUGGGCUGGCCAACAUGGAGUUUGCAUUGGCUAACCUGCUCUACCAUUUUGACUGGAAGCUACCCAAUGGAAUGUUGCACAAGGAUCUUGAUAUGCGGGAGGCACCUGGACUUAUUGCCGCUAAACACACUAGCCUGAAUGUAUGUCCAGUUACUCACAUUGCUCCAAGCUGCUCAUAAAUGCCAAUGUAACAAAUAAUGCCUCUUCAAAAAGAACAUAACAAAUGUGCUAUCAGAUAUUAGGUUUACGUGAUUCCACAAAAAAACUUAUGUGCCUAAGCGGAAACAUAUAGAGAGCUUAUUUAUGUACUCAUGCUUAAUAAUAUAUGUAUUAGGUGUUGUUGAUGCGAAAAACAUGAGGCCUAGGAGAUCUGCUUAACUCCAGUGCAGGUCCAAAAAUCUUGCCUUUAGGUUCGUGAGCGUGCCAGUUGAUUUGAUCCAGCAAUCAACAAGAAAUAAAGACAGCAAAAUAGCGGUUAAAUCCAUAAAUAAUAGCUGAUCGGCCACUCGCCGGUGAUGUAUCAUUUAUCUUUGAGCCGAUGUCAUAUUUGAAUCGAUCGUCAGUCAUAAAUAGGCAAGAAAGGACUAAAUCUAUUCAAUCGGCUGUAGAUAUCAAUAGUAUAUAAUGCUUUCGUUGAUAUCUAUUUAAAUCAAGUGAUUGGGAUAGAUCGGUCGCCAUGCCGAGACAAUAUAAAUCACUUACAUCGAAAUAUAUAUUAACAAGGAGAUUAUAAGCAUUCAUAGCAUAGCCGAUCAGAUAGAUCUAGCAUGUAUCGGCUAGUACUCCGAUAUCACUCUAUAUUAAGAUAUUAAAGCAAGCAAAAUAUAUCAAACGGGAAGCUUAAUAUACCUAAAUGCAGCAAGAUCUUAACAUAAGGGCGGAUUUAACAUAUCAAUCAAGCAUAUGAGAUAUAAAAGAGUUAAAUCAGGUAAGAUCGGCUGAAACUCCGAUACUACCCUAAUUGGUAACCAAAAGCAGGUUAGAGAUUGAGAUUCUAAUCACGACUUAUAAGAUCAAACUCAACUGAUGCAGCUAUAAGUAUGAAAAGAAGGAAAAUAUCUAGACAAUCAAGCCGUUGAAUGUUUCAUAGGGUGGUGGAUAAUAUAAGGCAACAUUGGUAUUUAACCUAAUCGGUUGCUUUCCAAUGAUAGAUGUUGGCCGAUUGAAGGUUAAAUAACAAUAUUGUCAUAGAUUAUAUAGGAUAUAUGAUAACUCGACGAAUUACAUAAACAAGAUUAGAGUAUCAUAACAAGCUUUACCUCUAGUUGAAGAUCAAAACUGAUGCAGCUCAACCCGAAAGCAAGAACUCGUCGAAAGUAAACGAAAGUAAAAGAGUGGCGAUGCGCCGAGAUUGUAUUGAACGUGUGUUGUUUGAUUACAUGGGUUCAGGCUCCAUUUAUACCCGAGAUACAAAAUAUGUCCUUGCCAGACACUACACUUAUCUCUAUCAAACUCUAAGAUACCAUAAGUCUUUGCGGCAGACUUUUGCCCAAACAUAUCUCUAAGGAAAUUAUAUAAGAUAUCCUAAUUAAUAAAUACAAUUGCCUAAACCGAGAGCUUUUUCUCCAUCGUGGCAAUCCCUAUGAAGCACUUUGAACAAUUCUAGAAACAGCCUUGAAACCGUCUUCAUUGUAAUCGGCUGCAUUACCUCCAUCGGCUGUAUCGGCUAUCCUCUAUCCGAUCCAUCCCAGUCGAUGUACACUCCAGCCGAUACAUUCGCAGCCGAUGCAUACUCUGUUCUUCGAAUCGAUCUCUUCAUCGAAUCUGCCUCGAUCCUAAUGUUGAACCUGGUUCACAUCUUACCAAAUUUGGUCGUUAACAGGUGCUCAAUCAAAUUACAUCCUAUAAAGUAACAAGCUCAUUGUACUUGUAUGUUUGUCCUGCCAAUUGGACAGCCCAUCUCAGACAUGUUUGGUUUUCUAUCAUCCUAUUGCUCCAGCCAAAAAUACAUGUCGGUCUGUACUUUACUUAUUGCAUUAAAGAGUGGGAAAUUAGCAGUUGAUUAGUGGCAUAUGCCAAAUAGGCUUGUCAUCUUGCCUUCUCAUCUAGCUAACAUAGCCCCCUUUUCAGACAAGAAGUUGUGGCGCAUCCAUGCCACGCCUCUUCUUCACUUCAAUAUAGUGUGCAAUUGAUGUGCUGAGAAAAGUGGUGGAAUUGAAGAGCAAGAGCAAUGGAUCGAUUCCCCUUAAUUAAUUUAUGGAAAAAUGUUAAUUGUUAGGCGAAUCGGGCGGCCAGCUGUGCUAGGGUUUUGGCCAAAGACUGAGAUGGCCUGCAUGACGUUGGGGAUGACAAGUGGGCCCAACUCCACCUAUUAGUGGCCAAGCGGGCGUAGCUUGGCUAGUUGAGCCAUGUUUGGGGAUACAGGGUUUGAUUAGUAUGGUAUCCCGAAAGCACACGCAAUCGUUCAAGACUUUGAUCGUAUACAUAUUGAUAAACAUAUUACUUGCAUGAUAAAGCCAAAGUGACGACAGACAAAACAAGUGUGUUGAUAUAAGGUUUUGUGGUACUAUCUACUUCUAUGGCAAUGUUUUACAAUUAAAUCUAUGCCUAGGUUACGAAGGAACAUGAUAUAGCAAAUCAUGGGUUUGGCAAUAAUCACAAUAACUCAAAACAAUACAACUUAAUUAAUCAAAAUUACUCCCUCCGGCCCAAAAUUAGUACCACUUUCGAUUUGUGCCAAAAAUAAGUGACCACUUUAGAGUUCUACUCAUCUCAUUAAUCACCUCUUAUUAAAAUUCCUUCGCAUCUUACUCGAAACUAUUUUGGGUUGGUCUCUAAAAUAAGCAUUAAAAUCUACCAAUUCAACAGUCUAAAUCCUGCCCCAACCCCUCUACGGGUUCUAAGAAAACUUUUAAACAGUGACCAUUUACCUAAAAAACGUUGUUUUCAUCAUCGCGCAGCAUGACCGCUCCGUGUGGCGAAGUGUCGACGACGGUAUAUGGUCCUAGUCAUUUGCUCCAAAGUUUUCCACGAUCGAAGAGCUUUACCCUUGAGUUGAACAUCAAGACCUUGUUUCCUGGUUCAAACUCCUUGAUUUUCAUUCUCCUAUCAUGCCAUCUUUUGGUUUGUUCCUUGUACAUCUUGGCAUUGUGAUAAGCUUUAUCUCUCCAUUCCUCUGGUUCCGAUAGCUAAAUCUGUCGGUGGCAUCCAGCUUGUCCUAAAUCCAUGUUACAAGUCCAAAUCGCCCAAUGCACCCUAUGCUCCAGCUCAACGGGCUAGUGGCAAGUCUUCCCAUAGAUGACAUGGUAUGAUGACAUGCCAAUGGGCGUCUUAUAUACGAUCCUAUAUGCCCAAAGAGCAUCAGGUAGCUUAUGCUUCCAAGCUUUCCCAAUCUCAUGGACGGUUUUCUUCAAAACAUUCUUGAUCUGUUUAUUGGAUGUUUCUGCACUUGUAUAGGGAUGGUAUGGAGUUGCAAUGUUGUGUUGUGCCCUAAGCUCUUGUAAAAAGUUUCAAAAGCCCUGAUGAUAGGCACUGUUAUCAGACCAUUAAAAUAAAUCAGUUUCAAACAUGUCAUUUGGCUGGAGUAGAUAACUUUGCUUUGUGAGGUAAUGCUUGUAAAGAUUUGAGAAAUCCCUAUGCCAUCUAUUUUUUUCUAAUUUUUCAUUAAAAAGUUGUAAUUGCGUUGGAAAAUAGUUGUUGGAUUUGCAACAUUAUAAAAGGAGGAAGAACUGAAAUCAGUGAUGCUCCCAGAGAUGUUCAUCAAAAUGCUGCUUAGUCAAUAUCAUAUUUCAACUUGAUUUUUUUUUCAAGUGAAUUUCUUAUGCCCCCUCCAUUUAUCUUGAAUCAUAUCGUGACACAUUUUCCUUAUAUUAGCAUAUUUGUUGUACUCUUAAUAUAAUUCUCACUUUGUUUUGUAGUUGACAUCUGAUUUUGGACUGGACAAAAUUCAUGCAUGCUUCCCCCUUAAGUUCUAAAUCAUUUCGAUCAAAGGGCAGUGUUUGUCCACAUAUGCAGAUUCAGGGUGCUUUACUUACUGGAUAUUCAUGGAGCUUUAUUUUGUCCACAUAGCAUGUUGUUUUUUUGUUUACUUGUAGAAUGUCUCUGAGCAAAGAUAUCAUGCAUGCCAUUUAAUAUAUUCAAACCUAAUUUUGUUAGGAUGGCACCAUACAAUAUUUUUGAAGCAUGUGUAAUCGAUGUGUUUCUCCCAUUUCAAACUCCAAAAAACGCUACUCCCUCUGUUUCAUAUUAUAAGUCAUUUUAACUAUUUUCCAAAUUUAAGUUUUAACUUUUAAGUUUGACCAAAUUUAUAGAAAAAUAUAACAACAUUUUUAACACAAAACAAACAUACUAUCAAAAUAUAUUUAAUUUUACAUCUAAUAAAAAUAUAGUACGACUUAUAAUAUGAAACAAAUAAACAGGGGUAGUAAGAUUUUACUUCAUUUAGUUAUGGUUUAAUAUGCCUAAGAGCAGAGUUUUCCUUACCGUAUUUGAGACCGUUACCAUAACCUAGCAAUAUCAUGGUUACUAGGGAAACCGUGUGGUUACCGUACGAACCAUGAAAAACCAUGUGGUGACUGCUCGGUUUAGCAAACCCCUGCCUAAGAGUAGAUGGAAAUUUAUGUUGACUUAGUGCUAAGAAAAUAACCAGUACCUAUAAUGUUGGCUAUUUUUAUUUUGACAAUUAUUUUGGGAUAUAUGAUUUAUAAAUUCUGGUUAAACAGAUUAUUUUUGGUAGAUAAUAAUUUCUAAAAUGAGAAUUUUAAUGCACUCAUAUGAUAUAUUUUGUAGAAACGUGUGUUGCACGAUACCAGUAGAUCUGCAGUAGAUGAAUCAGAUAGAAUGAGCUUUAGUAAGAGUGCUCCAGUAUAGAGUGUAAUAGUUUGAAUUAUAUUUAAUAGUCAAUACGGAAACAAAGUGAAAAAAAUAAUUUAUGAUCAGUAAAGAUUUUUAUAUUUAAAUUUAUAGUAGUUUAAAAGUCAAUGCUGAAAAUCGUACUAGGAUGAAACAAAACCCAAAAAUGAACUCCACUAUUAAUUGUAUUUUAAAUUCAAAUUCAGCACCGAGACUGAUAAGAUAGGAACUAAAUAGCCGAUGAGAGGUAGCAUUUUUUCCAUUGCAGUAAAUAGGAAUCCCUGUAGGGGAAGACAUACAGUCUCGUGUACUAGUUUACUAACUAGUAAUCGUGCACGUGCAAUGCACGUUUUUCAUAAAAUAUAUCGUAGGAGUACAUUGAAAGUUUGGAAACUAUAUCUAUCAAAAAUAAUUUAUUCAACCAAAAUUUAUAAAAUAUAUCUCCUGUGUAAUUGUAAAAAAAAGUAUAACCAACAUUAUCGGUACUUGUAAACAUGGGUAUGACUGUCUUUUGUACGAAUUUUGAUAGGAGGGAAUAAAAUAGAACAAAAGCCAGAGGCUAUAUAAAAUUACAAUCUAACAAAAAAACAACUGUACCAGCCCUUUUGCUCUGUAGCUGGUCCACUGCUUGAUCUCGUCAAAAAGAAUUUGUCGACAAUUCGUUGAAUUGACCAUCCCUCUUUCUCGAAGUUUCUAUUAUUUUGUUCCGUCCAAAUUCCCCAGCAGACCAGCAAGAAGAGGGUCCUGAGCCUUUUUCUUUGAAUCUUUUCUGAUGAAGUCUUGUGACACCACCAUUCCAAUACUGAACAGGCCGAAGGAGGGCUUGCUGAAGAAACUUCAGUUAAGCACAGGCUUAUUCCUAUCUGGAUGGCUUAAACUAAUCUACUCUUCAUGAACAAAUGAUGAGAUGUCUCAAGGUUUGAUUCGUAGGGGACAAAAGUAAUUGUAUGGCCAGCCUCUAAGUUAUAAACAGCAACAGUCCAUAUGCGAUUCUAAGCUAGGAGACAAGCAAAAGAUUAAUUUGCACCUCAAAGUCAAAGGGGCCUGACUUCCAAACAGGUUGCAUCAAAUCUGAUCAGAUCAAUACCUUGCCAUGUAUGCUGGCUUUGCCAUGUAGAAUUGUAGAUGCCUAAUUCUGACCAUCGCCAUGAGUUCCUUUGGUGAGUGACAGUGUCACCCCUUCCAGCAAGCAGCGUCAAAUCCCAAAAUAUUCAGUUAAGAACCCCCAUUGAUAGGUCAUGCCAAACAUCAUCUAUCCAAUGAUUGUCAACCGGCAUCCUGUACUGCCAUGUUGUUUCAAAAAUGCAUGAAUAAUGAUUGCCCUAUUGUUUUUAAACUGCACGAAAAGUGUAGCAUUAUAUGCAGUUGGAACAAUGUUGUGUUUCUAAAAACAUGGUUUAGUCCUCAUCCAAGAACCUAGCAAAGGAUUCGAAAUUGGCAAAAUCCUGACAUGUAAACAAAAUACAAAGGACACGAAAUUACCAGUGAUUUCACCAAUUAUUAAAUUCCUUAUUUUAAAUAUACUAUCUUUUUAUAAGCAAAUAUGCAUGUUGAAAUCACUAAAAUGUAGAUCCAGACCCUAAAUUAUACUAUAAUUUUGACAGGCAACACCACAGCAGCAUAAUAAAGCUUCAAUUAGCAAUCAACAAAUCAAGAAAAAGAGUCAAUAUGGAUCAAAGAUAUAGUAGGAGCAGUACAGUACCUUGUCCUGGCACAUGCCAAUGCUGUGUGUAAACCACGGGAAAUGGAAUAGAUGGCAUAGCAUACUACGCACCAGAUGACAUUCACCAUAAUGAUGGCAAUGGUAAGUUUCCUUUUAUAAGGCACUGCUCAGCCCAACUUAAGCAGAUGUACCCCAAUCAAUGAAGCCAACUUAAGCAGAUGUACCUGGAUCAUCAUUGUCUUCAGCAAUGUUAUUACCACUGAAAAAGAAAGGGUGUGUCAGAAAUCAAAGUCAUUUUAUAGAUAACCCAGGAUGCUAAUUAAUGUAGUCUAAUACAGGGUUCAAUAUUUCUCUUUCAGCGUUUAUAUCGGAGGGUGCCGAUGUACUGAAAUUUCGGAAAUUUUGAACAAGAUUUGGUAAAAAAAGAUUUGAACAAAAUGUUAUCAAAUUUACAAAAAAAUAAAAAUAAAUUAAAAUUUCGACCGAAAUAAUAUCAUAGGGUUGUCCGACAGAACCGAAACUUCCGAAAUUUUGGAAAUUUCGUUACAGAAUUUUGAACCUUGGUCUAAUAUUGGUAAUCUUAACAAAGUUAUUCAGCAUUGCAGAAAGUUCACACACACACACACACACAUAUAUAUCAAUAAUGAAGUAAUCAUUCCAAUACCGAAUCAUCGUUGCCAUCGUUGAAAUAUAGAGAUGGCGUACAUAGAGUUUAUACAAUACAAAGUGAUUGCUAGUUGAUCAAAAUCCAUAAAACCUGGUUAAAAAUUUAUAUUAGUAUGUGGAUGAGUACUCUUGGCAGAUUGUUUUUUUUUUAUCAAACUUCUAUUGAUCUAAUUAAUCGAACAAUGAAAUAUGAAAUCCCAAGAACACUUAUCCUUCAAUGCCAUGUAUAACCAAGAACACUCAUCCUUUAAUGCCAUGUAUAACCCAUGAAAUUAUAUUCGAUUUACGACUUACUUAUAAUGGUUUUUCAAUAGAAAAUCAACGACUGAUUACGUCAAUAUAGUAGGGACGGCGCCGACCGGAACACGGCCUUCCCCAUGCGGCACUACUCGCCGACGUCGCCUUAGCCACCAUCACGGUGUCGAGUUCGAACAGCAUGAUUGCCGAGAAGACAAGCUUUUCUAAUGCCAAUGCGAUCGCUAGUUGACUUGAUUAGCUAAUUAAGAUUAACUAGGAAGGUACGAAGCCCGCACAUUCGUGCGGGCAUGUAUUAUAGGUUGUGUUUCAAACACUAUAACGAUAUAAUAUAAACCGGAGAACAUUUUGGGAAUAUAAAUCGGAAAUGAAUUUUGCACAGAUGCACGGGCAUCUUAUUUGUUAUUAAAAAAGAAUGCUAAAAGGAAUCAUACAUCACUACAUAUAUACUAUAUAUAUAUAUAUAUAUAUAUAUAUAUAUAUAUAUAUAUAUAUAUAUAUAUAUAUAUAUAUAUAUAUAUCUAUAUAUCUCAAGAUUAAGAUUUUUAUGUGGUACCUACUUAAAGGGGUUAUUCUAAUAAAGGAUAACUUAUCUAGGAGAAAUUGGCAUGGUAGUUUGAAAUGUUGUUUUUUAAGAGAAAUGAGACUAUUCAACAUUUGUUUGUGAAGUGUCACUAUGCAAAAUUUCUUUGGAGAGCUCUACAGUUUACUACUGGUUUAUAUACUCCUCAUACCUCAUAGUAUAUAAAAAAUCUUUGAGAAUUGGCUUGUGGGAGUUAAUAAAAAAUCUACCAAACUUAUUCUUGUUGGAGCAUCCGCUAUAUAUUGGGCUAUAUGGUUGUGUAGAAAUGAUAUGAUUUUUGAUAAAUCACCAUCUAUGUCCUAUAUGCAGGUUCUUUUUAGGGCAACAUACUGGCUCCAGUUCUAGGCUCAGCUACUAAAGUGUGAUGAAGAAAUCAAGUCAGUGAAAGCUGCAUGUCGUAAUCUUGAGUCAUUGGUUAUGCAGCUGUUCGCUAACUUUGGAUGGAGAUUCACAAAUAGAAUUUAAUAAUUUUUGUGAUCUUUUUAUGCUGUGUGAGUUUUUAUUAGAUUGUCUGUGCUUUUGUUUAUUUAGGUGUGAGUUUUUGUUGAGUUGGUGUAAUAAUUGGCUGUAGCUAUUUGAGUAAAGGCUGGGAUUAUAUUCCAUUAUCAUAUAUAUAUAUAUAUAUAUAUAUAUAUAUAUAUAUAUAUAUAUAUACACUACAAGGGAAUUUAGAUUAUCCUACAAUAAAAAAAGAAAUAUAUUUACCGUAAGAUAGACGGUAGAUUUUAAUAUACCACUAAUGUAAUAAGAAUGUCUCUCAUAUUUAAAUAAAAAUCCCUUUGUCCUAGUCAUAUAUAAACUAGUUGUUUUUCAUCACUACUUACUAUCGUUGUUUUAAGAGUUAGGUGCACUCUUAAUAAAUGAAACUGUAUUAGUACCACUAAAAUAAAUGAUACAUUAUUAAUACACUAAAAAAAUUCAUCUACACUGUAUAACCCGGUGUUCAUCAGUUAUUUUCACUUCUAUGUAUAAAUAGUCUAAAUAUACCGUUAAAAAUAAACACGAAUGCCUCUCUAACGGAUAAAGUCUAUAUAAAGUCGACUGUAUCUGCUAACCAAUGCUUUUGUAUAUAUAUAAUGCCUUGAAACAUAUAGGUCCCACAUUGAUGUAGCCAUGCCCCAAAAAACCAUCCUAGAGUACAAUUUUAACACUUAGUUCACUAUCCGUACACUCACAAAUGAUUAUAUUUGUAAGUAUGUUACUUUAGUUACAUUGCCUAUGGCGGCCUUUCACGGAUAACACCUUAACUCAACCAUGUACAUACCCCAUGCAAUAUUUACGAUGGCAUAGCAAGUACUGUGCCUUGCAUUCAAGGACAAAGAGGGAUAGAAAAAAAGGAGGAAGUGAUGAAAACAUUUUUUUUUUAAGUUUUGGGUCGAUUUGUGAUAGAGAAUAGAAAAAAUGUGUAUAUAAAGUUACUAAUAGGUACUUCUCAAAUUUUAAUGGAAUACAUAAAUAUUAUGUUUUUCAAAUGAGCAGGGUUAAUCAUUCGACACUACUCUAACAAAAACUAUAGCUAAAGAGACGUACCGCCAUGAAAAUCUGCAAAACACCAUAUCGUUAUUUAUAUUUUGAUAGAGAUUAUACUUUAGCGUCAGAUUUGUUUCCACCAUAUGUUGUUUAUAACUAUACGAGACUCAUUUACAAAUUCUAAGAAUGUACUUAUUUUCACAAACUUAUUUACACUAACUAAUUCGCUAGAGUGCACGUACAGUUCGGUUCAAUGGUGUCUAACAUUCAUCCAUCAAUUGUACCCAAUAUAUUAAAAUUUCUAUCAUCUAUAAAAAAUAAAACAUAAGUAGUUUUACGCGUAUUUUAUUGGAUUAUUCAUGUUUUGCCAAUACUACAUGGCAAAGAAAAUACAUAAUUCACGUGAUGAAUUAAGGGUUGUAUUGUAGCAAAAUAAUUGUCUAAAAUCUUAUUUAUUUAUUUAUUUUCUCACAUCUAUCUAUCAUUUAUGCUUCUCACUCCUCAAAUAGAAAAAAAAGUUUUGAAAAAAUUCAGAUACUUUAAUAAUCUCAAUUUCACCCAAAAUAUACCUAAAAAUAUCCACUUAAAAACCAAAUUUAAAUUCUGUUGUUUUAUUAUCACUGGCUAAAAUUUAAUUUAUUUUUUCUCAACUAUCUAUUAAUUGUGCUUCCCACACCUCAAAUAAGAAAAGUUUUGAAAAAUUCCAAAUACUUUGAGAAUCCGAUCGAGUCUCUCCCAAAAUUAAAUAAACCUAAACAGAUGUACUUAAACAACAAUGCUAGGUUUUGUUAUUUUAAUUUUUACAUAUGUAGGUUCAAAUUAACGUUGUAUAUUUUGUCAAGUGAUAUUUGACACCAUAAAAUAUGAUAUGAAAUUAUUUGAAACAUUAUUUUCGCAUUAACUAUUACAUGUUGGUGUCAUUCGUCAUGAUAUAUUUAUCACUACAAUAAGUUUAUGAUUAAGUUUAACUUUGCACAUAUGUGUAGUAUUAUUUUUAAUAAAAUCGUAGAUUAAAGGCUAUUGAUAACAAAUCAGUGACCGCACUGAUGAUUUUUCCUGAUUAGUAUUUCUUUCUGAUUCUACUAUGUACGUGUGCAUGUUUUCUUUUUAUUUUUUGGCUUUAUCUUUUUUCGAUCGUAUAUGAUGUAGGUAUUUAUGUUUUGUGCUUUUUGGGAGGGAGACGAUCGUACAACAUAAGCACGCUAUGUUUUUUUUCCCUGGAUAGAGAUUAGCAACAUGGGAUUUUUAAGAGGUCUAAUGCAAUGUUUAAAAUAACGGGUCUACUAACUAAUUUAAGUGAAAAUUGAAGGUUGAAUGCUUUUAUUUUUUUUACUCUAAAUUUCUAGGAUUUCUCUAAUUUUAUUAGAGUGCCACGUGACAAUGCUAGAGUAUUCGCAGCAUAUUUAAUAGACUUUUAGUAUAUAAUAGAUUUCUCGGAUUUCUCUAAUUUAUUUGAGAGCACGUAGUGGUGUAAAAGUGUUUCUACAAAGUUUAAUAUAAUUUUAGUAUAUUUAGAAGAUGGUUAAAAUAACAUUGAUUGGACAUUUAUUAUAGAUUUUAGUUUAACUACAUAUAUUUAUAUUUAUGAAGUAAUAUAUUUUAUCUUUAUAUAUAUAUUAUAGAAAAUAUUUUAAAGACCGUUGAUUUUUAUGGAUGUAUGUUUUUACCGUCUUUUUUAUGAACAUGCGUAUGUUUUUUUUCUUCCAACGAAGAUUAGGAAAGGUUUAUUGUUUUGUUUUCAUUCAUGUAUAUUCGUAAGUACAGAAAGAACAGCAAUAGUAUUUGUAUCGUACGAACUCGUACGUACACGUACGGACAGUAGUAAUAUGGAUUAUUAUUUCCUAUAUUUACCCAUGAAUAUACGUAGAUGACUUAGAUGUAUAGUAAAAUAAUAAAACAAAACCUAUAUAUUAACUCUAUGUUUGUUAUAAACACGAGGAAGUUAUUAUUUUUUAAUAAUAGAUCUAAUCUAAUGGUCUAUAAUAUCGGGUCACCAAUUUAAGCGAAAAUCAACGGUAAAAUUAGAUAGUGCCAUGUAGCGACUUAGAAGUGUUUGUAGGAGUGCCACGUAGCGAUUUAAGAGCGUUUAUAGAAAGUUUGAUGGACUUUUUAGUAUAUAAUAUAUAGAUUUUGUUCGUGAUGACUUGAUAUUGCAACGUAUUUGAAGCAAGAGAAAGGACAUCAAGACAAAUUCGACCGAUCAUAUGUGACAAAUUCAAUGAAUUAUCAUGUUUUUCUUGCAAGCUUUGUUAUAAGUUAAAGCUGCAGUAUAUUGUGAUGAUCUUUGAUCUGAAAAGUACAUUUCUUUUUCUCUGGCUCGCACUUCUAACACAGAUUGAGCUCACCACACAUUGUAGAGUUUUGUAGAUUUCUAAAAAAAGUGAAAAACAGAAUUUGGAAGGUCCGAUGGAUGUGUUGCUUUCUGGCUUAUAUAUUGGAUCGGUUGAUACCACCUGUGGAGAAACCAUUUUUGGUCGGUCAGCCAAAUUCAACCAUAGUUCCGGUUGCAAUAAAAAACCGGGACUAAAGAUUAUCUUUAGUCCUGGUUCAAAAGGUUAGAGCUACUUUUUUUUAUGUUUAGUCCCGGUUGGCAUUUUCAACCGGGAUUAAAGUUCUAUUUCUAGUCCCAAUUGGUAACACACCAACCGGAAAAAAAGAUCCCUAUUACCAACCGGGACUAGAAAUAGAUGUCUAGUCCCGGUUGGUAACCUAAACCGGAACAAAAGAUCGGCAUGCGCGGUGGAGAGGACGAGGCGUGAGUGUAAUCGAGGAGUUGAUAAAUUCUAUCUCCUCCUCCCUAACAUUAUCUCUUCCGCCUCCCAUCUCUUCCUCUUCCUCCUCCUCGUCUCCCCAUUCUGUUCCUCCCCUCUAUUCCCCAUUGUCAGCGGCCGGGCGGCGGCGGCGGCCGGGCGGAGGCGAAGGCGGCCUCGCGCCGCGGUGGCCAGUCGGGCGGCGGCGGCGGUGAGGCGGAGGCGGAUCCGGAGGGGAGGCUGCUGGGCGGCGCCGGUGCGGCGGCAGGCGGUGGAGGCCGGCGCUGCCAUGUAUUUUUUUUAUCUUUUUUAUCUUUUUUACUUAAUAUGCGAUUCGAUCUGUGUUGAUUGAUACGAUAUGUGAUGAACUAUUGUGUGAACGAUUUGGGAUAAACUAUUGCUGUGAAUGAUUUGGAUGAAUUAUAUUGCUGUGUGCUGUGAAUGAUUUGUUGUGAAUGUUUGAUCUGAGAUAAUGCUGUGAAUGUUUGAUAUGAGAUGAUUUGGGCAAAUAGCAAAAGAACAGUGAAAAAGAAAGAGAGAAGAAAAAAACCCUCCAACUGGGACCACAUCUUUAAUCCCGAUUGGUAUAUUUAGUCCCGAGUAUUUGAACCGGGACUAAAGAUAGCGAUUUUUAGCCCUGGAUUCUUACUCCCGGUUGGAAAACUAGGAUUAUAUUUUAGGGGGUUUCCAACCGGGAGUAAAAAUCGUUUCUCCACUAGUGUACGUGGACGUAUUGCAGUAGUCUGAAUAAAAUGGCUGGAGUGUAGGGGACUGAUAUGCUAUCCUGUAGUAAAAAAAUGUUGAAGAGGUAAAAAGGCUUAAGAGAUUUUCUCUCAUGCUUGGUGGAGAGGAAUAUGUAUCUCUCCAUACAUGAUAUAUAUACAUCUCCUUUUACCCACCAUAAAACGUGGUAUCAAAAUUAAUCUUUAUAAAUACUUGUCACAUUUUCUUAUAUUUUUUAGAGUUAUACAUAUAUGUGCCAAUUAUAAUGUAUAUACCUUGCUAGAGGUAUAUACUCUGGAUUAACACGGAGAGUUAUAUAUACCUCUCUAUACCUUGCAACGAGAGAAAAAGUCUUGCCCCUGCUAAUCAAACUAUCACGGAACCCUGGAUAGGUGCCGGAUUUCUCAACCGGCACCUAGAACCGGCACAUAUGAGGAAAACCAAAAGUAUCAGUUGCAAAACCAGCACCUUAGAAUAAAAAAAAAGGCGGCUCGAUUCAUCGGCUCGAUCAAGCCAAUACAUCGAGCAACUCCCCUUCACCUCGCCCCGAAUGCAUGGAAGAACAUCAAGAACAUUCUUCCCAGCCAUAAGAAUACAAUCACAAAAUACACAUCAAGAACAGAUAGAUAAUUAACAUAAAGAGCCUCUGGUCGACACCACCGCCGCUCGACACCACUGCCACGCUGCCGCCUCCUCCCCUCGGGCGCUGCCACCUGCCACCUACUCCUGAUGGGGAGGGUCCUGGCGCCACCCAUCGCCUCCCUUCCCACUAGAGGGAACAGAGCUGCCACUGCCGCCGCCACUAGGUAGAGAUAGAGAGAGAACUUACGAGAGAGAGAACGAGAGAUAGAGAGAGAGGAUUGAGCCCUCUCAGCCUUAUCCACUCGAGACCACCGGUCGGCUCGACUCCUUUUUUUAGUGUAGUGUUGACACCUACACAAUAUUAUAGGUAUCGGUUUUUAAAUAACUGUCAUCUAUGAUAAAUUAAAUGUGCUUGUUAUUUUUAAGAAAAAAGGUAUUAUAGGUGUCGGUUUUCUUAUAGAACCGGCACUUAUAGUCUCUUAAAGAUGCUUCUUUUUUGUGUUUUUAAUCUGCAGAGGUGGGAAAUGGAUUAUAGGUGUUGGUUUUAUCACUUCUCGCGCGUACAACGCUGACCUCUAUGUGCCUUUUUUAAGGCUGUGUUCGGGAGGGCACGCAAAACAAAGCACCUAUUAUUAUAGGAUUAAUUAAGUAUUUGCUUUUUUUUCAAAAAUUGAUUAAUAUGAUUUUUUAAGCAACUUUCGUAUAGAAACUUUUUGCAAAAAAAGUACCGUUUAGCAGUUUAAAAAAACAUGCGUGCGGAAAACGAGGGAGAGAGGUUGGGAAAGGGAGGUAACGAACGGAGCUUUAGUAAUGUCAGAAACUUGUUUCCUAAUAAGUUUAACCAGUUUAAUUGUUUAAAUCUGAAAUUGUGAGUAGGUAUAUACCUCUUCAAAUAUGGAAGAAAACCUCAAAGGUUAAAUGGUUUUUGCUUGCAAGUCAUGUUAGUUCAUUGGAAUUAAAAAAAUACGGUUCAAUAGAUACCGUAAAAAGUACAGGAUGUUUAGUUCUAUACCACCGACAUUUUUGGCUUCACCUUAUUACCGUAUAAUUGCUCCAUGGUGCAUGAACGUACUAAUUCCUGCCAUUUACCAAUUUCUCCAUUAUUUUGACCAUUUUGCCGUCCUUAUCCCUUUGAAAAGAUACCACACAUUUAUCCAAAGAAAAUACUUAUCGGAAGCUUGGAGUUAACCCCUCUCUGCACCAAUGACUUAAUUGCAACAUGUUGUCAUGACUGUGGUAGCAUAUACCGAGUACUCUCUCCGUGUGAAAAAAAAAAGACAAACCCUAGGUUUUCGUGUUUAACGUUUGACUGUCUGUCUUAUAUGAAAUUUUUUUAUAAUUAGUAUUUUCAUUGUUGUUAGAUGAUAAAACAUGAUUAAUACUUUAUGCGUGACCUAUCUUUUUAAUUUUUUUAUAUCUUUUUCAAAUAAGACGGACGGUUAAAUGUUGGACACGGAACCCCAUGAUUUGUUUUUUGGAACGGAGGGAGUACGUAUAAAAGGCCAUUGCGUCCAUUUAUCCAUCCACACACGCACAACGCCUUGCCACCAGUUCGUCUUAUAUUCAGCUAAUUAAUUCAGUUUCUAAGUGCAAUGAUAAUCAUCUAACUUCAGGCACAAAUCAACCUGAUCACCAUUGCGCGUUAGGGUUAGGAUGCAUUCGGGAACAAAGACGUACGAUGCUCUUCCUUGUUUGUAAAUCUUUCUCUGCAAAGUCAGAAGGCCAUGGAUCACGGAAUGGUGCUCGGAAUUGCAGAGCACAGCAACCAUGUCUAUGCGGUCAGGGUGCGGCGGUUCAUGUGCAGUUUUUGUUUUGGCAAAAAAAGAAAAGAAAGUUAUGGAAUGAAGUACGCCGCUUAUCUUUUUGUUCGGAAUGUUGCGAAGCUCUGUACUGGUGCUGGAAAACCAUGGUAGCUUCUGUUUCGUUGUCAGUAGUUCUCUGUAGAAUCGUUGUCGUUUUCCUUUCUUGUAGAAGACUUUGUUCCUGUUCUAGGCUUUCUUUCAUAGACAGGUAAAGCAAAUUACUAUUUUUUUUAACAAAAGAAACUACUAACACCGAUGGAGGCUAUCCCACAUCUAUUGGAGUGUGGAAUUAUUCUCCCUCAGUCCCCUCUAACCCCUCUCUCUCUUGGUGCUUAAACGAACAACCCCUAAGGCUUUGUUUGGUUAAUUCCUAUUGUGGUGUGGAAUUAUUCUCCCUCAAUCCCUUCCAAUUCUCUUCAAUCCCCUCUAAACCCAAAAAGGCCUAAAGGAUGAUGGAGGCAGCGGGGCAACGGAUUGUCAGUUUGUGCUUAUUGGGCAAACUUCUAUUUAUUGCUCGCAAUCUCAAAUCUUUGAAGAACAUAUUAAAUGUUUUACUAGAACACAAAAUAAAAUAAAUACAGUAUUUUGUUUAUGAGGUUUGUCCUAAAUGUAUCAGUGAAAACUUACGUGCUUUUACCCGAAAAUAUAUUUUGAACUAUGACAUGUGUCUGAAAUAUGUAUCAGUGAAUGAACUCAUUCUGUUACUUAAUUAUAUAUGAGAAUUAAAACAAACUUGUGUGGGGGUACGUUUCAUUGUUGAGGGUUACUUUCAGAAAGAAAACAAGAAAAGUCGCAUUGUUAUUAGAUAUAGAGUAAAGUGCACCACCGAUCCUUAAAGUUGAAGCGUGGUGUCACUUAGGUUAAUGAUCUUGUAAAAUCAUCAUUAAUGUAUAUGAACUUGUUUAAGACUUAAGUGAAUCGGAUUGACCGUCCUACGUGGCUGUCCAGUGUGGUCAGAAUAUUCUUGUCUUCUUGGUUAGUUAUUAAAAAAACGAAGGAUAAUUUCAUGCCAUCUUGGUUAAUGGUAUACCGUGAUAUUUCCAUACACCAUCACAGUAUCGUGAUGUAUUCAUUGAUGUCUGAGCUUUCAUGAUCAUCAGUGAGCAAGUAUAGUAGUUUGCUGUUGAGACUGCACGGUAAAUCUGCCAGAUUAAAUGGCUAAACACAAAUAUCCAGGAAAUGAAGGCGACACUCUAAAUAAUUUGUCCUGCCCAAAAUAAACUAACUCUAAGGUGAAUUAUGGCACAAACAGGUUGUUAUAGUUUGAUUCGAAUAAUUCUUAAAAAUUAGACUAUAAAGUAAGAUUUUCAGUUGCAACUUCAGUUAAGAUAUGCCUGGCUAUAUCUAUUAUCUAUCUAUUAUAUACUAAAAAUCCAUUAACCAUCUACAAACGCUCCCAAGCUGUCAUGUGGCCUCCUACAAACUUUCAUAAGCCGCCACAUGGCGUUCUAAUAAAUUAGAAAAAAAAAGGUGGACCCACUAAUUUUGCCAAUUAAAUCUCCAUCUAAAAGAAAAAAAUCCGGUAUCCCCACCACCGUACGCACGCACGUACAAGUACUCCCCUCCACACCCUCCGAACUCUCCCCUAUUCUCCUAUUUUUUAGCUAACUUCUUUUAUUUUAUAGCUAACACUUAAUAUAUAAAAAUGAUAAUAAUCGGUUAUCUAAAUCUACACAAUUGUCAAGUUACAUUUUUUUCUUAUUUUUUUCAACUGUUGUGUUAUUUAUCAAUUAAAUACCAAAUUCAAGAUCUAUAUGACCCAUAUUUUGUUAUUUAAAAAUUAAAAAUUAGAUCAUGUGACCUCUAUCUAAUUAUUGAGUUUUUAUAUGAUUUUGUCAGUUAAAAAAACAAAGGAGGUGAGGAGCAAGAAGGACAAAUAGAUGCGUACGUACAUGCACGUCUCACAUACAUGUCUCACGUACGUCUCACGCCUUUUUAUUUUUUAAGAUAAUUCUAACUAGGUAAAAUAAUGGGUCUCUCAUCUUUAAGUUAAAAUCGAUAGUUAGACAUAUUUUAGAUUUUUUAUGAUUUUAUCUGAUUUGUUAUACUGUCACAUAAUGGUUUAGUAGCGUUUGUAGAAUCACACGUGGAAUGUAUAUGCUUGGUGCUCUAAUAAAUUAGAGAAAUCCUAGAAAAUCAGAGAAAAAAAACAUUCAACCUUUAUUUUCACUUAAAUUGGUGGACCCGUUAUUUUAAACCGUUCGAUUAGAUCUAUUAAAACUCCCACGCUGCUAAUCUCCAUCCAAAAAAGAAUAACGUACGUACGCAUAGUAUAGUUCGUACGAUCAUCGCACUUUCUGAAAAAAAAAACUUAAUUACCUACGUCAUAUACUAUGGAGAAAAAGAUAAAUCAAAAAAUAUAUCAAUAGUAAAAUCAAAGAAAUACUAAUCAAGAAAAAAACAUCAAACCAGCCUUCCGGCACUUUAUGUGUUGUCAAUAGCCUUUAAACUACGAUUUUUGCUUCAAUUCAUAAGAUGAUUAGAAAGAUGAUUAGCAAGGUAAUUAUGUUUAAUCUAAUGGGGGUAUGGUUGCAUGCAGCCGGCGGAGCCCGGGCAGCUGCCCAGGGUCGCCGGGCCCUGGCUCCACCGCUGAUAAAUUGCAUAUAUAUCAUGUAGUUCAAUACAUAUUAAUUUAUAUCCAUGUUUCUGAACUUGCAUCCCAAAUCAUAUCAAAUAAUAAUCUUUAUUACAAUGAAUAUAUAUAGUUCAGGUCUUCACAUAUUUUGGCAAUCCAUUGCAUUCAAUUUCCAUAAUACACUUAGACAAGAGAGCCGGUUUUUAAGUGAACCUGUGGUACAUGUGUAGGGUUAGGAGGCACUGGGAACCAAGAUUAUGCAGCGCAAUUAUCAAUCCUAUAUUCUUACUCCUUUGCUCGAUGGCGAAGUUGAUGAGGUGGAUACCAUGGUCUCCUCCACAACCAGGUUGACUAGCUGCCUACUGCCUGGACCAUGGAUGAUUGGAUGCACUGGCUAGCGACAAUGUUGGGGUGUCUUGUUUGCUUGGAGUGCCUCCAACAUUCGUGCUCUGCCACAGACAAAAAGGACUGAUAGGCAUGAUAUGCUCGUGCCCUUCCACACUAGGUGGCAGAUCAUGGCAGGACGGUCAUCGGGGGUCAUUCAUGUGUUUUGUGCGAUGAAGAAUCGAUGCAUGCAAUUUGGAGGUUCCAAAUGGAAAUGUAGAGGGCCGCAAUUCGUUUGGAACUUUGGACUCAUUGGCAUGUAUACAAAUUAGCUGCGCUUUCAGGUAGGGCUACCACUAUAGGUAUCUAUUAACCUUACCCAUACUCAUACCCAUAAUAUUUGGAGAGGGUAUGGGUAAGAAGAAUUUACCGAUUUAAGAAUUGGGUAUGAGCGGGUAAUACCUAUUUUAUCCACUUUAUUUUAUUCAUUUUUUAGAAAUAAUGUGUGUGUAAAUAUCAAACCCAAAAGUUCUAAACUCGCAUUCACACUAUAAAAUCUUUUCAAAUUCAGUUGAGUUUUGUAGGGACAAUUUAUUAUAUAGAGCAUCAACUUUGUGUAUUUUUGAGCAAAUUUUAUAUAUGAGGCUCACAUGUUUACCCAUAUCCCAUAUCCAUUGAAUAAUAUCAACUUUAUCGAUCUCAUAUCCUUAAAAUGUCGAGAUCGAGGAAGAUGGUACCCUCGCCAAAAGGGUAGUUGUUGGUCAAUCGUCUCGUUACUCAUGAGAUGUUGUCGCAAUCAAGCGGGAAAAAUAUCAAUGUGAUGGCGUGUAAUCUGGACAUCGGACAUACCUAUGUUUUUGGAGUGAAGAACUGCCAAGUGCUCCUCGAUGUAAGGAGCCACCAACGAAAAUUGUUGCAAAACCAUAAAAUGUGAUUUACAGAAUAAAUCGUUGUACAAUCAUUAAUGUUUUCCUUCCAAGAGUCCCCUUUCCCCGUAGUCUCCCCUCAUGGCUUGAUUCGGGGACCCCAAUUAGACGAAGGUCUUCAAUAAAUUAUACGCAUAACUCAAUGACCUCCUUUGUUACAUACCCUUGGCGAUGGUUGCUUGCGGACGAGAACGGUUAUGAAUGUACUUCUUUAGAACGCCCAUGUACCUCUCGAAAGUGAACAUUUUGUGUAGGUAUACAGGACCGAAAAUACCGAUCUCUUUGACAAGAUGACAUAGAAGAUGCGCCAUUAUAUUGAAGAAGGAUGGUGAAAAGAUCAUCUUAAAGCUAACGAGACAUUGCACCACGUCAUUUUGAAGGGUUGUCAAUCUGUCUGGAUCGAUAAUGUUCUGCGAAGUUGCAUUCAGGAAUGCACAUUGCUUUGUUAUUAUUGUCCGGACAUUAUCAGGAAAGAUACCCCGAGAUAUCACAGGAAGCAGCUUUGUCAUCGACAUGUGACAGUCAUGAGACUUUAGGUUUGUGAUCUUCUUUUCCUUCAUGCUUAUUAUUCCCUUCAUAUUCAAAGAGUAUCUAGACGGUACCUUGAUGUUGUUCGAGCAUUCAACAUACUUUCCUUCUCUGCCUUGCUCAGAGUGUAGCUGGUUUGACUCAAGUAAUGGCUUCCUUUCUCCUUAGUUAGAUGCAUCACGUCAAUUGCUUGGCGGAUGUCUAAGACUUCCGAAUAGGGUAACUCCCAAAAAAAUAGACUUCUUCUUCAACAUCACCGUGUGGCCAUCUUCACUGGCUAUAGGUUGGCUGCUAGAUCCCUUUCCAAAUACUACUAUCAGAUCUUUUAUCAUAACAAACACGGUUUUUUUUGUUACGAUGUUUAGGCUUCGUACGAUCAUCUGCCUUAAUAAUAAAGUUAUGAAUGUAGCUUGUUGGCACUGAUGGUGUUUAGAGACUGAAAAGAUAUACGUAUUUAAUAGCUAGUUACGUGAACCUAUGUUGUUUCAAAGAAGCUAGGUUUAUGCCAGGGCCGGGAAAAGUAGUUUUUUUUGGCGUAUAGCCAACCUCGAAGCCCAAUUAGCACUCGCUUCGCUAACUCGAAGCGCCUCGCUAUGAGAAUGACGCUUCGCUAACGCUUGGCUAAGUCGUCAAACCCUCGCGCGAACCAUUGAUGCUGUCGGACUGAUAUUGUUUCAGUGAUUUGCAUCUCAGAUAAUUCUAUAUAUUGAUGCCGAUGUUCCACAGCAUGCAUUCCUGACAAUAUAAAAUGAAGCACGGUACUACAAUGAAGAUUUGUUCCAAGAUCGAGCCUUCACAUAAUUAAACAAUCCAACGGGUAUGAAUGAUCAAGAGUGUAGCCACCAAACCACAUCAUUUACGGCCACAUAGGAGAAAAUGCUCCCAGAAAAGCAACCUAUACAUGUUAAAGCGAAGAUUCAAGGCAAUUAAAGGUCCUUGAUUGAGUACUAUCUAAAAAUCAGGCGAUAGGUUUUUUAAAAAAAUCUUUGAAAUGUAACUAUAGUGUAAGCACUGUGUUUUGUUUCUCUAGACAACUAGCGCAAAUCUUAGGACAAAACCAAUGGACCAAAAAUCGAAAGAUAUAUAUAUAUAGAAAAAAAAAUGUCAACAUAUUUGUAGCUUUUCCGCCUUAAAGUGUACCCUUCUAUAUAUAUGGACAACAUGGAGGGUACAACCAAAGGCAUCCUAUUUCCUUAAUACACUCAGACGUCUCUCACACAGCAAGAAACACCUAGAGGUCAAUCAAGUAGGCUGUUUUAGUGAACCUGUAACCUGUUAGGUGUAGGAGGCACCGGGAACCAAGCUUUUGCAGCUCAAGUAUCAAUGCUAUGGCACCAUGUCUUCUUCGCAAGAUGGUAAUGUCGAUAAACUGCUUGUCAUGAGAGAUCAACCAGCUUCGUAGCGUUGUUUUGGUCUUUUGAUGCCCCCUUCUUAAGCAUUGGAACUAAAGCAAGUUGGGAGUGGUCAGGUAUGUCACGGCCUUUCAUGAGCUUCUGCGGGUAAUUUGCUAAGUUAAUUUUCCUUCUUAAUCAUUUCGUAGUGCAGUGUAUUUGAAGCAAAAGGAAGGACCUGAAGAAAAAGUUGAUUGAUCGCUUGCACCGUUUUAAUGAAUUACUUUCUUUUUCUUGUUAGCAUUGUAAUGAUCUGUUAAUUAGAUCUACAAAUUGCUUCCCUUUUUCUAUGCCUAGCACUGGUGAGUGGUGACAUAGAUCGAACUCGCUAGAUAUAUAUUGUGGUGUUUUUGUGACCUUUGAAGAAUCAGAAUUUGUAAGGACCGAUAGAUUUAUUUCUGGUUUACAUAUUGGAUAGUUCGAUAUGUGGACCUAUUGUAGCACUGUGACAUAGAGGACUGAUCUCUGAAAAGGUGAAAAAGGUGAAAAGUUAAAUGUUUCUUCCCGGCAAGUCAGGUUAGUUAGUUCAUUGGAGUGAAAAAAAAUCGUCGAAUUUGUACCGUUAAGUUGCUCCAUGGUCCAAGAACAUGCUACUGCCAUCAAAUUUCCUCCAUUUCUCCAUUAUUUUGUCUAAUUUUUCCCUUCUUGUCAUCUUGAAAAGAUAUGACAUAUAUAUUCAAAGAAAAUACUUACAGGAAAGUUGGAGUUUACUCCUCUGAGUACCAGUAUACCCUGCUUGAUGAUGCUAGUACUCUGCUUGCAUACCGAGAGUCAAUUAAUAGUGUAGUAAAAAAGAAAAGGCUGCCAUAUAGUAGUAUAUAUAUAUAUAUAUAUAUAUAUAUAUAUAUAUAUAUAUAUAUAUAUAUAUAUAUCAGAUGAAGAUAAGGGGUCGAUCAGAACUGCACAGAAGGUUGUGCAAAAGUGUCGAUUUAUCCAACCACGCACAAUGCCCUGUCUCCUGUUCAUGUCAGAUUAAAAACAGCUAGUUCAAUUUUUACAUGUACUGAUAAUAAUCAUCUAACUUUAUGCACAAAUUAUUAGCCUGGUUACCGAUGAACGUUAGGGUUAGGAUGCAUCAGGAUCGAAGAUGUUCUCACUACAGUGUUUUCCUAGUAAUCAAUGUUCCUUCUAUAGACACUGCAGGCUACCCCCAAAGUUGUGUAUCUAGCCAAUGGUAGAGGUCAAUGGAACCACUACUAGUUCCUGACUACCAUAGCUGAUAGCGCAUUGUUCAGUUUGUGGUUAUUGGGGGCAUACUUUAUAUUCUUGAAGUCCAUAUCAAAACAACAAUGGGAUUUAGUUGUAUAAAAAAUUCUUGAUAGGUGUAUGUAAGGUUGAUCGGUUCUGAUUGUUGUGGCAUUUUGGGCCGUAGCUGUCCAACCCAGCUGAUCUCGGCUGCAGCUCAAAAUCCUACAGCCAGCGGUGGAAAACGGAAUAAAAAAGCAAACCCUCUACCCGUCUCUUGUACCUACAUCCAUCCCCUAUAUGCGCUGAAGCUCCUUUACAUCUUUUUUUUUUUUGCCUUUCCAUAUAGGAAGGAGUAGUUACUAUUAUUUACUAAGAAUAAUAAAUAUUUACCAGUCUUGCAAGCUUUAAAUAAUUAUUUUUUGCCUAAAAAAUUAUUUUGAACUAUGAGAAGUGUCUGGUACAUUGUUCAUUUCUGGAUGCAGGUUUGACGUUUUGUUGUAUUAAUGUGUUGUGAUUUUUUUUAUAGUAAAGAUAUUUUAAUCAUCACUUAAUUAUAUUUUUCAUAUAUUAGAAACAGGAAGGAGUAGAAAGACAAUCGUGUUAAGAAAGCUUCCGAAAAAUUAUUGUCUUCCUGGUUAGUUUUUUGGAAUUAAAGGACAACUUCUGGCCAAGUUGGUUAAUGAUACUGUGAUAUUUCUGUCCACCUGGUGUCGCCGAGCGAGAGCGUGCACGGCGUGAUGCGGAAGCUGGCCAGGGCGCACGGCCCCGUCAUGCAGCUCUGGUUCGGCGAGGUGCCCACCGUGGUCGCCUCGUCGCCGGAGGCCGCGCAGGAGGUCCUCCGGAGAAAGGACCUGGCGUUCGCCGACCGCCACCUGACCAGCGCCACCGAGGCGUUCAGCUUCGGCGGCAGGGACGUCGUGCCGGCCCCAUACGGCGAGCGGUGGCGCCAGCUCCCGCAAGCUGCUCACGCAGGAGCUCCUGACCGCGGCGCGGGUGCGCUCGUUCCGGCGCGUCCGCGAGGUGGAGGUGGCGCGGCUCGUGCGCGACGUGUCGGCCGCCGCCGCAUCGGGUGCCGCCGUGAACCUCACCGGGAUGGGAGCCAGGCUCAUCAACGACAUCGUGCUCCGGUGCUCCGUGGGGAGCCGGUGCAGGCACCGGGAAGAGUACCUGGCCGCCCUGCACGCCAUGGUACGCCAGACAUCCGGGCUCAGCAUCGCCGACCUCUUCCCGUCGUCGAAGCUGGCGUCCAUGGUCGCGAUGGCGCCGCGGAGCGCGCUGGCGAACCGCAAGAAGAUGGAGCGCAUCAUAGAGCAGAUCAUCCAGGAACGCAAGGACCAAAUGGAGACGGACACCGGCGGCGAUCAGGCGGCGGCGGUGGAGAGCAAGUCAUGCUCUCUGGACGACCUGCUCAGGCUCCAGAAGGAAGGCGGCCCGCCAAUUCCAAUUACAAACCAAGUUAUCGUCGUGCUUUUGAUGGUACGCAAGCCUCACGUAACUGUACUCACUCCUUCCAAAAAUCUAAUUUCUAUUUUACUUUUUGGUUUUUUUAAAAGUCUAAAUUCUAUUUAUAAUCACUACGUAACUUAAUUAAUAAAUUUUUGAUCAAAACCAAAAAGUCAUCUUAGUACUUAUUGAUUAUAUAUUCAUUGGUUUUAUCGUAUGAUGAAUGGGUUAACUAUAUCUUUGAUCUUGGUGAGAAAAUAAAUAUGACUUGGACUUUGAAAGGAGAGAGUAGUAAUUAUUAUAUUAUGCAUAUAUGGAUAAAAAAGACAGCCCAGGAGGCCAAUUCAGGGAAAUGGAUUAGCGGCACAAAUAAUAGAGCGAAGAAAACAAGCAUUGGUAUCAGCCUAUCAGGAGAUAAUUAAAGCAGAGUGGUGGGCCAGGCCAGUAAUGUCCAUAUAACUCCAGCUCCAUGCCACCAAGCGGCUCUGCUUCACCAUCUCCAAGUCGAUCUUAACUCCAGCGCCAGCCAACUUAAUCCCACUACUCCCCCCAACUCGCGAGCUAAACUAGCUUAAGCCUUGUCCGGAUAAUGUGCCGUGUCGAGCCAGCUCGUCUUAUUUUACUUAUAAAGUUAAUGCGCACUAACUACUGAAACUAAUCAUAUAAGUGUCUCACAUCAUCACUCACUAGCAAUUAUUAUUUAAAGUAAUUUAAAUCACAUGUAAAUAUACCACAUCAUCAUCCACUAAUAAUUAUUAUGAUUUUAUUGUAUGUUUAGAAAUUGAUAUGCAAGUAAUGUCAGAUCAUACUCUCUGCAUCAUUUUCACAUUAUUUGAAUAUAUACAUUUAUUAUUUCUAAAAUAUAUAACAGGUAUUCAUCCAUAUAUUAAUCCAUAUAUUAAGCAGCAAAGCGUAUGGUAUUAUCCUACUGAGCCAAACCGCACAGAGCCGAGCUGGCUCAAUAUCGAUCCUUGGUUAUGCCCAUGGGCGGAGAACCUACAUCUACAAAAUAUAUAUAGAAACAUUAGUAAACCUUUUCUUUAAAAAAGAAUCAGGAAGUUCUAUCAUCCUAUCAUCCUGGCCUCUGUAUCUUUAGGAUACAAAACCAUAAUGUUUUAGAUAAAAAAAAUAGUCUUAAGUAAGGGAUAAAACCUCCUAUGAGAUGAACUAAGCAAAGUUUACACAAGAAAAUAUACUCCCUCCAUCUACUUUUGAUAGUCAUAUUUCAUCUUGGCACACAGACCAAAGAUAAGUAAUUCUACUUAUCAUCUAUUUAAACAUAGUACUAGUCAUUCCUCGUAAACAAGCGAUUCAUUAAUAUUUACAUUUCUCGAUGCUCAUGCAGACAAUCUUGUGUGGAAGAAUGGAGAGUUACACAUUAAAUCCGAGAAAGUCAUUAAGAUUGAUAGGUUGUUGGAUUGAAAUAUGCCUAUCAAAAAUUUUAUUUUUUAGAUUUGGAAAUAUGACUAUCAAAAAUAGAUGGAAGGAGUAUAUAGUAACGAAAAAAAUAGAGUUAAGUGUAGCAUAUAUGUGUAUGCCUAUUAUACAAGUUUAGGCAAAAAUAGAUAAAAAAAUUCAGGUGAAUAAUAAUUAAUUACAAAAAUAUAUCAUUUCAGAACAUUUUUGCGGGUGGCAGCGAUACAUCGUCAACAACACUGACCCGGACCAUGGCAAAGCUCAUCAGGUCGCUGAGAGUGAUGGCGAAGGUACAAGCUAAGCUACGUCAAGCCUUUCAAGGAAAGAGCACUAUCACUGAAGACGAUAUUGGAAAAUUGAGCUAUUUCAAGAUGGUGAUAAAGGAGUCCUUGAGACUACAUUGCCCGGCGCCCUUCUUGAUCCCUCGAAAAUGCCAUGAGACAAGCAAGAUCAUGGGUUAUGAUGUACCUAAGGGUACAUCAAUAUUUGUGAAUAUGUGGGCAAUUUGCAGGGAUAGUAAGUAUUGGGAGAAUGCCAAAGAAUUCAUGCCAGAGAGGUUCGAAACCAACAAUAUAUAAUUCAAAGGGAAUAACUUUGAGUUUCUUCCAUUUGGCUCUAGACGCAGGAUAUGUCCCGGCAUAAAUCUUGGGCUGGCCAACAUAGAGCUUGCCUUGGCUAACCUUCUUUAUCAUUUCGAUUGGAAGUUGCCAAAUGGAAUGUUGCACAAGGAUCUUGAUAUGCGGGAGGCACUUGAACUUCUUGCUGCUAAACACACUAGUCUGAAUGUGUGUCCAGUUAGUAAGAUUGCUUCAAGGUGUGCAUAAGUUCCAGUGUAAUUAGAGGUACUAUAAGAGAUGGGGUCUUCGUAAUUUUUAAACAACUUAUGUACCUAUUUUAGAAAGGCAUAGCAAGCCUACUUAUAUACUGACUAGUAGCAUGCCCGUACUAACGCUACGGUAAUAUUUAUAUUAAGCAACCAAAAGACAAUAUAUAAAAUGAGAUUAAUUUUAAGAAAUAAAAAACUGCCAGAUCAAGAGAAGUAUAACACCAGCGUUCAAAUCCAAGUUCUCUUUGCUACUCUUAUAUACAUAAUGAAAAUUUUCAUCUCGCAGCGGUCAUGAUUCCUUGGCGACGCGGAUUGACUAAAUAAUAAGAAAAUGGAUGCACAAAGACUAAAUGAAUCCUUUCCAAGAUCAGGUUUUGGCUUAUCCGUCAAAGAAAAGGUAGGCAAGUAGUAAUUACAGUCACUUUAUGAUAUUCAAAUCUACCCAGAAAUCUGUAAUGACAAAACUAUUUCCUAAAAAUGAUCAGUAGUCAAUCUCAAAUUGUCCUGAGCAUACUACAUGAAGGUGCAGGAGGAUCUAUCAAUUGAACAACAUUUCAAAAUUGUUAGACAAAUUGGUUCAUGAGGAAUUGAGGCACCAAGAGCAGAUGAAUCGCAAACUCAGCAUAGCAACAGCAGCAGAGGAGGCCAAACAGUUGUCCAUCCCAUGCAGUGGAAUGAAAUGCCCACAUGAACAACGUUUCCAUGUUAAUCUAUUUUUGUAUUUCCUAGUAUGAUCGAUCACUGUUGUCAUUCUUUCAACUCCUAACCAACAAAAAAAUAUAUAGAACUGUAGCUAACAUAAAAGAUCAGGUGAUAGAGAAAAUAAAAGACUUCCGCUCUCUGCAUAUAUGUUACAUUGCAGCAUACACCAAAGCACAAAUCAGAAAAUUCUUACUAAACAGUAAGAUUUUCUUGUAUGCUUCACUUUUCUAGAGUAAAAUAUUAGAAGUACGUCAACAAACAUCACUAAUCCCAUGCAGAUUUCUGUUUCAAGUAACAUGGAUAUUUUGAAUGAAUAAGCAGUCAAAAUCAUAUAGGACACAUACACAGCUUAACACAGUUCUCUUUUGCCUAAAAGUCCAAAGUAGAAAGAAAGUACACAAACUAAAUCAACUUAACUCUCAGAUCAGAAAAGUUCCAUCUAUUACUUAACAGAGUGAUAGGUGCACCAAAAUUCCAUCUAUUACUACAAUGCUUAUGCGCAUUUUCACAAGCAUGUACAGUGCAAAGGGCUAAUACAGUAACCUAUUCAGGAGGAUAUAUAGCAGAGCAAUGUCUGUUCUGGGUCUCUGUGUUGCUACAUUAAUUCGACUGCAGCAUGUCCACAUGGACAAUGUCGACGCGUAAAUCAUUCGUUACCUGGCAAUAUAGGUAGUGUUUGGUUGCAAGGAUGGGAUGAACCCACUUUUAGGGGUGUUUGGUUGAGAGGUGAGUGGGAUGGGAUGGUCCCUGGAGAGGAAUAUUCCUCUCAGAUCCGGGACGAAAUGGUCCACCAAAAUCGGCCGGACCAAUCCAUCCCACUUCGACGGAGAGAACGGUGUCAACUCCCGCAGCCUCCCGCUCGGCUCCGCCGCGGCGCCGCCACAGCCGCUCGUCCCUCCUCCGCCUGCUCCCUCCACCAGCGCCGCUCCGUCCUCCUCCGCGCAACCGCCGCCGCUCGUCCGCGACCGCCGCCGCCUUGUCCGUGUCCGACCUUCGCCUUCGCGACCGGCCGCCGCCUUGUCCGCGACCGACCGCCGCCGUUCGUCCGCGCCUCACCUCGCCUCCGGGACCGGCCGCCGCUCGCCCGCGCCUCGCCUCGCCUCUGGGACCGGCCGCUGCUUUUCCGCGACCGCGGCCUGUCCCUCCUCCGCUUGCUCCCUCCUCCGGCGCCGCUCUGUCCUCCUCCGCCUGCUCCCUCCACCUCCGCGACCGCCCAUGCCACAUCCACGACUGCCGCCGCCUCGUCCGCGUCCGACCUCCGCCUCUGCGACCGCCGCCGCCUCGUCCGUGUCCGACCUCCGCCUUCGCGACCAACCGCCGCCUCGUCCGCGACCAACCACCGCCGCUCAUCCACGCUCGCCUCGUCUCCGCGACCGCCGCCGCUCGUCCGCGCCUGCCGCCACCUUCGCGACCGUCGCCACUCGUCCGCGACCCGCCUCCGCCUCUCCUCCGCUCGCGCCGACGAGUUCCUCCGCUCGCGCCGACGAGCUCCUCAACUCGCGCCGACGAGCUCCUUCGUCCCUAAUCUCACCGGCAGCCUGGAAGCUAGCCACUGGGAGCAGACGGCCCUAACAUCCGUGAAAAAUUGUCCAUCCCAUCCCUCCUCAAUCCCUUCUACCAAACAAAAAACUAUAACCAUUUCAUACCAUAAACCAAACACACAACUGGAACCAUCCCAUCCCAAAAAACUGGGAUGGGUCUAACCCAUCCCACUUGGUCCCCAAACCAAACACACCCUAUUCAAGGUGUUUGGGCAGCACCGCAGCAGCAGAUCCAUUCAAGGUGUGAAGUCAUCCGUACACGGUGGCCGGACGUGGUCGUCAGUCAUUCUAGCUGUGAAGUCAUUCGUACAAGCGUGCAGGAUCACCGCCGCCAAUGUCCCCUCAGAGGAUAUCCUCUCCCAACUUCGCCUGACGCGCGGACCGCAGUGUAUCAGCCGUCGGGGCGCGAGGAGCCGAGGAGGAUCUCCGUUGCCUGGAUCAUAGGCGGUCACGCGGAGUCGCAGAUGAUUGACGCCGGCGGUGGCGUGGCUCGAGGCGGCGGCGGCAUGGAUCGAGGAGGCGGCUAUGGUUGAGGGGAGCGACCGAGAGGAGGGUGUGCAAGAGAGAGAGAGAGAGAGAGGGGAGAGGGGUGCAUACGGAGGGGAGACGUGGGACAAUCUCGAGCCGUUGGAUUCGAUGAUUCUGGAUCGUCGGAUUUGAUGAAUGAGGAUUGUACAGGAGUGUAGUUGGUGAAUUAUAGGGUAGAAGAUGAUGUGUAGUAAAAUAUAUACCAUGUGAACCACAAAAUUACAUCCAUUUAAAUAACGAUAUCACUGUACUUGUAUAUCUGUCCUGCCAAAGAUAGAAGCAUAUAAUGAUGUUAAAUGAUGCGUAGGGUUUAGCAUAUAAGUAUGUUAAAUGAUCUUCACAUAAGUAUUUUAAUGUACUGAUGCAUAGGGUUUAGCAUAUAAGUAUGUUAAAUGAUCAUCCUCACAUCAUUUUUUAUAGUAUUUUAAUAUUUAUAAUUUCUAUAAUAUUUAACAUAUUUUCAUCCAUGUAUCUCAUAACAAAUCCUGAGGUAUCACAUAGUAUACCCAAAAAGCUUGUCCUCUCGCUAGUUGCAUGCACUACAACAGAUAUAGGCUUUUUGACGAUUCCCUGUGACGACUUCAUUAAUAUGUAACGAAUUCGUGAUAAAAUCAACAUUAAAUUCUCUAACGGUCCAUCUUAGCGACAAUAGGAGGUCUUGGUGAUAAGAUAUGUACCCAUGACAAAAGAUAAUCGCAAACAAUGGGGAUUUCGUCAUUACCGGUUCGUCUAUCACACGGUGAUGAUGAUUACUUCCUAGAACUUGCUAGUUAAAGUCCUUAUGGUUUUUGCCCCCUUUAUUUUUGAAACGAAGCUAAAAUUUAAAACUAUUUUGGAUGGACAUGUUGACGAUAUUAAAUCUUUGGCAAAAAGACAUCCAUACCCUUCCCUACUAUUACACAUUUCACACUGUUUUUUUAUCAAUUGUGUAUUUGCUUCCAUUUGUACAUGCAGCUUGCAAUUUUUAUAAACUCUGACAAGUAUGACAAUUUUGACAGACUAUGGAUAAAAUGUUGUUUCAAAAUUUGACAUAAUUUUGCCAGAAAUUUGGACAUAUUUUGACAAAAAACAAAGGAUAGAAUGGCACAAGUUUGACACUCAAGUAGAAGUAUAGCAAGUACCAGAACCUCAAGAAAAUCAAAAUCACAAACUCAACCAAAUCCAACCUUGCAGCCUCGGUGUCGGAAUAAACUUUUGAAACAUGAGGUUUAUUAUCCAUUUUGUUUGCAGUGAGACUAUCUACUUUCAAUGCUAGAAUAAACUACUCAAAGCAACGAGUUUGUCAACAUGAACAACCUCAAUGUCUUGGAGCAUUCCUUAAGUACGACAUCUCAUAAUUUAUAAUUUGGAAGAAGCGUGCAUUUUCUUUAUAGGCACUCUACAGUGACUGAAUAAACUAAAGAACAUCACAAAUCCGUCUUUCCGAUUUUCACCCCCAUUGUUAAUUUGGAAGAAGCGUGCAUUUUCUUUAUAGGCACUCUACAGUGACUGAAUAAACUAAAGAACAUCACAAAUCCGUCUUUCCGAUUUUCACCCCCAUUGUUGGCGCUGCAUGUUUUGCUUAUGUACAGAAAUAAUUAUGCGUACGUUGUUGUUCCAUGAUGCAAAUUGAGCGAGAGCUCAACUCAAUAAUUUAUUAUACACUUCCUUUUGUCAAGAAUGAUGGACAACUCACUACUACGAAAACCAUCUUUCGUGGCGGCCAUUUUAGAUUUUCGCUGGCGGAAUUUGGAGCCGCCACAAAGCAAAGGCCAGUGAAGAUCUAAUAUUUUCGCUGGCGGUUAUGUUCCGCUUGCGAAAAUCUAUUUUCACAAGCGGACACACGAUUUUCACUAACGGUUUCGGUCCGCUUGCGAAAAUCGAUUUUCGCAAGUGGACAAACGAUUUUUGCUAGCAGUUGAGUGUCGCUUGCGAAAACCCAUUUUCUCUGGCGGUUGCUUAAAGAGAACCGCCAGUGAAAAUCAACCCACCCCGCCAAAAAUUCCCUACCCCAAAUUCAAAAUUCCCCACUCGGCCAAAUUCAAAACAAUCCAUAUUUGAAAAUGGACAUAAACAUCAUUCAAACACAAUCCAAAUCCAGAGCAUCACAAAUAUGUACAUAAUAUUGGCAUCAAUCCAAAUACAACAUUGACAUCAUCAACAGAACAAACACAGAUUAACCUAACAAACAUCCUUACAAACCAAAACACACACAAAAGCACAGAGAACCCUAGUCGCCGAAGCCAUCGGGACGAGCCACCGCCGCUGCCAUCUGCCGGUCACGGAACCAAAACACACAAAAACACGCUUGCCGGCAGCGUCGCGGUCAUCGUCGUCGCCACGGUCACGGUCGUCGUCGUCAGCUCCGCUGCCGGGGACGAGCCGCUGUUGUCGCCGCCAUCCGCUUCCGGGGACGAGCCGCCGCCGUCGACGGGGACGAGCCGCCGCCAUCCGCUGACGGGGACGAGCCGCCGCCAUCCGCCGCCGGGGACGAGCCGCCGCCUCCCGCGCUGCGUGCUCCCCGCACCACCGCCGGGGCAGAUCUGCACGUCCUCCCCGUCGCCGCCUAUGUUGUGCCACCGGCGGCGGCCUCCUCCCCUCGGACAGAUGGGAGAGGAGGGGAUGGGAGGGCAGGGGCGACGCGGGGAACCGCCGGUCGUCGCCGCCAGAGCCGCCGCCGCUGCCAUCGCUGGUCGUCGCCUCUAGAGCCGCCACCGCCGUCGCCGGUCGUCGCCGCCAGAGCCGUCGCCUCCGUCGCAGGUGGAGAGGCUGGGAAGGAGGAGAGGGAGGAGAGAGAAGAGGAGUGGAUAAGAAGAGGAGGGGAUGUGUGGUGUUUUAAUGUGGAGAAGAGGAUGAGGAUGGGUAGGUGGGUGUUUUAAUGUGACAGAUACUUUUGGUUGGAUUUCCACUGGCGGUUCUAUUUAUUGGUCGCCAUGAAAAAUUGGACCGCCAACGAAAAUUAACUAUUUUUGCUGGCGGUGCACCUAAUUGACCGCCAGCAAAAAUAGACAUAUUUUCGCUGGCGGCCGCAUUAGAUGGGCCACCAGCGAAAAUGCAUUUUUGCUGGCGGUCGGUGCCCCUCACCCCCUCGUUACAAGUUUGCUGGCGGUUUUCAUAUUUUUCCGCCAGUGAAAAUAAUAGAGCAACGUCUUGAAAAAUCAAUUUUCUAGUAGUGACUAGAUGAUUUUCAAUUGAAAUUAAUAACUAUAUAUGAAACUUGUUAAUGUACCAAAGUUUAAAAUUUUGAAAACCCGUCUUGAUGUCGCUUGAAACAACAUAGUUGCAUGAAGUAACGUGUUUCCAUGACAUUGGCUUGUCAUAUUCACAAUGAUGCUGCAUAUGCGGCCUUUGAUAUACGCUUGUUUUAGUCGUGGAUGGAGAAUCAAAGUUGAUUGCUGCAUCUUUACGUGGUCUGUAUGGUAUACGAUUUUGUUGUGGUGGAUUUAGUAUUUUUCAUAUGUGCUUUUUGUUUGUUCUUAUUGGAAUAAAAUGAUGGACAUCCUUUAUACACUCCAUUUAUAUCUAAAAUACGAAGUAGCUUCGAAUCAAAUUUAAGCGCACAGUAAAAUUGUGGAGUACCAAUCAUGGUAAUUAGCUACGACAAUGCACUAGGAUAUAUCCUUAUAGAGGCAAGCUAUUUAAAUAUGAAAGAUAAUUUUAUUUCUAUUUAUAUCACCUCAAGUUUCACAUGUCACAUACGAUGAUACCUGAGCUUAUAUUUUCACUUCCGAACUACAAUAUUGUGAAAAUUCAGUACAAGACACCGCCAAGGGUGGUAAUGCUACCAGGUGCACUAUAGGACCAAGGGUAGAUACCAUAUGUAGAUGGCAAGUUAAAAGCCAACAGUGCUUGAGCUUGAGCCAGAUUCCGGUCAAUGUAGAGAUUGCCAAACUGCUGGAGGUGUAGCUGGUGCGCUAUGGCCUGGACAACGUUAAUGUCCUGGUAGUGAGAUUGUUGCGCCACCAGCCUGAGCUGUUGCAAGACUUGGUUGUUUCUCAGUUGAAACGCAGCUGAUUGCAAGAAGGUGCUUGCCGCAAUGCUAUACUGCUGCCUUACGAACUCAUUAUAUGGGCUAAGCACCUGUUGCUGUAGCAGGAGAGGCGACUGCACCUGAUAUUGCCUAAUAUUUUGACCUAAAACAUCAAACUGCGCAGUGGCGCUGCAUGCAGCAAUAGCAAGGAGAGCAAAGACGAAAAUGAUCUUCAUUGUUGCAGGACACUAGUUCUUUUAAAUUUUUGUUGUAUAAUGCUUGAAUUGUGCGAGCGAUGAGGAGGGUUUUCAUGGAGUUUGUCCAUUUAGAGAUGCGGUGGCACGGAUUUUCUCUCGAUUCCUCAUCGGUUGCUUUAGUGUGUUAGUUUUGCUUGGAUGUCCUAUUAGGAUCUAAGUGAGUCAUGUCAUUUGGAUGUAUGUUCUAUUAGGUGCCCCAACAAAUCCGCUUUGGUGUCAUCAUGAAAGUAACUUUUCUGUCCAUCAUGAUGGUUAGCAGGCAAGAAAGAUAACGAUAUGACUCAUCGCUCACCAUUUGCGUUUGUUUCGUGAGGAUUGAAUCUUUUAUCUAGGUAUGUUUCUCACGUUUACUAAGCUAUUAUUUCACUACUGCAUGCCACGUUGAACUUUAAGGUCGCGCGGCCUCAUGCAUCUUGAAUUAUCAAAUUUCAACAGGAAUGACAAAAUUAUAGUACGACAGGUGCAUUUUAUUGUUUCGUUGAUGCGGUAGUGAAGAAUUUCUUGUAGGAAGAAUUAAGUUAGCGCUGAAGCCUAAAAUCACCAUUCGAGAUAUUUACGAGAGAUCACCAUUAUAAUUUUGCUGAAACAUGAGGUUUAUUAUCCAUUUUGUUUGCAGUGAGACUAUCUACUUUCAAUGCUAGAAUAAACUACUCAAAGCAACGAGUUUGUCAGCAAGAACAACCUCAAUGUCUUGGAGCAUUCCUUAAGUACGACAUCUCAUAAUUUUGAAUUUGGAAGAAGGGUGCAUUUUCUUUAUAGUCACUCUACAGUGAUAGAAUAAACCAAAGAACAUCACAAAUCCGUCUGUCCAGUUUUCACCCCCAUUGUUGCCGCUGCAUGUUUUGCUUCUGUACAGAAAUAAUUAUGCCUACGUUGUUGUUCCAUGAUGCAAAUUGAGCGAGAGCUCAACUCAAGAAUUUAUUAUACACUUCCUUUUUUCAAGAAUGAUGGACAACUAGAUGAUUUUCAAUUAUAAUUAAUAUCUAUAUAUGAAACUUGUUAAUGUACCAAAGUUUAAAAUUUUGAAAACCCGUCUUGAUGUCGCUUGACACAACAUAGUUGCAUUAAGUUACGUGUUUGCAUGACAUUGGCUUGUCAUAUUCACAAUGAUGUUGCAUAUGCGGCCUUUGAUAUACGCUUGUUUUAGUAGUGGAUGGAGAAUCAAAGUUGAUUGCUGCAUCUUUACGUGGUCUGUAUGGUAUACGAUUUUGUUGUGGUGGAUUUAGUAUUUGUCAUAUGUUUUUUGUGUUUGUUCUUAUUGGAAUAAAAUGAUGGACAUCCUUUAUACACUCCAUUUAUAUCUAAAAUACGAAGUAGCUUCGAAUCAAAUUUAAGCGCACAGAAAAAUUGUGGAGUACCAAUCAUGGUAAUUAGCUACGACAAUGCACUAGGAUAUAUCCUUAUAGAGGCAAGCUAUUUAAAUAUGAAAGAUAAUUUUAUUUCUAUUUAUAUCACCUCAAGUUUCACAUGUCACAUACGAUGAUACCUGAGCUUAUAUUUUCACUUCCGAACUACAAUAUUGUGAAAAUUCAGUACAAGACACCGCCAAGGGUGGUAAUGCUAUCGGGUGCACUAUAGGACCAAGGGUAGAUACCAUAUGUAGAUGGCAAGUUAAAAGCCAACAGUGCUUGAGCUUGAGCCAGAUUCCGGUCAAUGUAGAGAUUGCCAAACUGCUGGAGGUGUAGCUGGUGCGCUAUGGCCUGGACAACGUUAAUGUCCUGGUAGUGAGAUUGUUGCGCCACCAGCCUGAGCUGUUGCAAGACUUGGUUGUUUCUCAGUUGAAACGCAGCUGAUUGCAAGAAGGUGCUUGCCGCAAUGCUAUACUGCUGCCUUACGAACUCAUUAUAUGGGCUAAGCACCUGUUGCUGUAGCAGGAGAGGCGACUGCACCUGAUAUUGCCUAAUAUUUUGACCUAAAACAUCAAACUGCGCAGUGGCGCUGCAUGCAGCAAUAGCAAGGAGAGCAAAGACGAAAAUGAUCUUCAUUGUUGCAGGACACUAGUUCUUUUAAAUUUUUGUUGUAUAAUGCUUGAAUUGUGCGAGCGAUGAGGAGGGUUUUCAUGGAGUUUGUCCAUUUAUAGAUGCGCUGGCACGGAUUUUCUUUCGAUUCCUCAUCGGUUGCUUUAGUGUGUUAGUUUUGCUUGGAUGUCCUAUUAGGAUCUAGGUGAGUCAUGUCAUUUGGAUGUAUGUUCUAUUAGGUGCCCCAACAAAUCCGCUUUGGUGUCAUCAUGAAAGUAACUUUUCUGUCCAUCAUGAUGGUUAGCAGGCAAGAAAGAUAACGAUAUGACUCAUCGCUCACCUUAUGCGUUUGUUUCGUGAGGAUUGAAUCUUUUAUCUAGGGAUGUUUAUCACGUUUACUAAGCUAUUUUUUCACUACUGCAUGCCACGUUGAACUUUAAGGUCGCGCGGCCUCAUGCAUCUUGAAUUAUAAAAUUUCAACAGGAAUGACAAAAUUAUAGUACGGCAGGUGCAUUUUAUUGUUUCGUUGAUGCGGUAGUGAAGAUUUGAUUGUAGGAAGAAUUAAGUUAGCGCUGAAGCCUAAAAUCACCAUUCGAGAUAUUUACGAGAGAUCACCAAUAUAAUUUUGCUGAAACAUGAGGUUUAUUAUCCAUUUUGUUUGCAGUGAGACUAUCUACUUUCAAUGCUAGAAUAAACUACUCAAAGCAAAGAGUUUGUCAGCAAGAACAACCUCAAUGUCUUGGAGCAUUCCUUAAGUACGACAUCUCAUAAUUUUGAAUUUGGAAGAAGGGUGCAUUUUCUUUAUAGUCACUCUACAGUGACAGAAUAAACCAAAGAACAUCACAAAUCCGUCUUUCCGGUUUUCACCCCCAUUGUUGGCGCUGCAUGUUUUGCUUCUGUACAGAAAUAAUUAUGCCUACGUUGUUGUUCCAUGAUGCAAAUUGAGCGAGAGCUCAACUCAAGAAUUUAUUAUACACUUCCUUUUGUCAAGAAUGUUGGACAACUAGAUGAUUUUCAAUUGAAAUUAAUAUCUAUAUAUGAAACUAGUUAAUGUACCAAAGUUUAAAAUUUUGAAAACCCGUCUUGAUGUCGCUUGACACAACAUAGUUGCAUUAAGUUACGUGUUUGCAUGACAUUGGCUUGUCAUAUUCACAAUGAUGUUGCAUAUGCGGCCUUUGAUAUACGCUUGUUUUAGUAGUGGAUGGAGAAUCAAAGUUGAUUGCUGCAUCUUUACGUGGUCUGUAUGGUAUACGAUUUUGUUGUGGUGGAUUUAGUAUUUGUCAUAUGUUUUUUGUGUUUGUUCUUAUUGGAAUAAAAUGAUGGACAUCCUUUAUACACUCCAUUUAUAUCUAAAAUACGAAGUAGCUUCGAAUCAAAUUUAAGCGCACAGAAAAAUUGUGGAGUACCAAUCAUGGUAAUUAGCUACGACAAUGCACUAGGAUAUAUCCUUAUAGAGGCAAGCUAUUUAAAUAUGAAAGAUAAUUUUAUUUCUAUUUAUAUCACCUUAAGUUUCACAUGUCACAUACGAUGAUACCUGAGCUUAUAUUUUCACUUCCGAACUACAAUAUUGUGAAAAUUCAGUACAAGACACCGCCAAGGGUGGUAAUACUACCCGGUGCACUAUAGUACCUAGGGUAGAUACCAUAUGUAGAUGGCAAGUUAAAAGCCAACAGUGCUUGCGCUUGAGCCAGAUUCCGGUCAAUGUAGAGAUCGCCAAACUGCUGGAGGUGUAGCUGCUGCGCUAUGGCCUGGACAACGUUAAUGUCCUGGUAGUGAGAUUGUUGCGCCACCAGCCUGAGCUGUUGCAAGACUUGGUUGUUUCUCAGUUGAAACACAGCUGAUUGCAAGAAGGGGCUUGCCGCAAUGCUAUACUGCUGCCUUACGAACUCAUUAUAUAGGCUAAGCACCUGUUGCUGUAGCAGGAGAGGCGACUGCACCUGAUAUUGCCUAAUAUUUUGACCUAAAACAUCAAACUGCGCUGUGGCGCUGCAUGCAGCAAUAGCAAGGAGAGCAAAGACGAAAAUGAUCUUCAUUGUUGCAGGACACUAGUUCUUUUAAAUUUUUGUUGUAUAAUGCUUGAAUUGUGCGAGCGAUGAGGAGGGUUUUCAUGGAGUUUGUCCAUUUAUAGAUGCGCUGGCACGGAUUUUCUUUCGAUUCCUCAUCGGUUGCUUUAGUGUGUUAGUUUUGCUUGGAUGUCCUAUUAGGAUCUAAGUGAGUCAUGUCAUUUGGUUGUAUGUUCUAUUAGGUGCCCCAACAAAUCCGCUUUGGUGUCAUCAUGAAAGUAACUUUUCUGUCCAUCAUGAUGGUUAGCAGGCAAGAAAGAUAACGAUAUGACUCAUCGCUCACCUUAUGCGUUUGUUUCGUGAGGAUUGAAUCUGUUAUCUAGGUAUGUUUAUCAUGUUUACCAAGCUAUUAUUUCACUACUGCAUGCCACGUUGAACUUUAAGGUCGUGCGGCCUCAUGCAUCUUGAAUUAUAAAAUUUCAACAGGAAUGACAAAAUUAUAGUACGGCAGGUGCAUUGUAUUGUUUCUUUGAUGUGGUAAUGAAGAUUUGAUUGUAGGAAGAAUUAAGUUAGCACUGAAGUCUAAUAUCACCAUUCGAGAUAUUUACGAGAGAUCACCAUUAUAAUUUUGCUGAAACAUGAGGUUUAUUAUCCAUUUUGUUUACAGUGAGACUAUCUACUUUCAAUGCUAGAAUAAACUACUCAAAGCAACGAGUUUGUCAGCAAGAACAACCUCAAUGUCUUGGAGCAUUCCUUAAGUACGACAUCACAUAAUUUUGAAUUUGGAAGAAGGGUGUAUUUUCUUUAUAGUCACUCUACAGUGACAGAAUAAACCAAAAGAACAUCACAAAUCUGUCUUUUCGGUUUUCACCCCCAUUGUUGCCGCUGCAUGUUUUGCUUCUGUACAGAAAUAAUUAUGCCUACGUUGUUGUUCCAUGAUGCAAAUUGAGCGAGAGCUCAACUCAAGAAUUUAUUAUACACUUCCUUUUGUCAAGAAUGAUGGACAACUAGAUGAUUUUCAAUUCAAAUUAAUAUCUAUAUAUGAAACUUGUUAAUGUACCAAUGUUUAAAAUUUUGAAAACCCGUUUUGAUGUCGCUUGAAACAACAUAGUUGCAUGAAGUGAUGUGUUUGCAUGACAUUGGCUUGUCAUAUUCACAAUGAUGCUGCAUAUGCGGCCUUUGAUAUACGCUUGUUUUAGUAGUGGGACUAAAUUCAAUGGGACUAAAUUCUUUUAUUCCCUUCUAUAUUAAAUAAUCAAGAUGAGGCAGCAGUGCAAAAUUGAGCCGAAUUUUAGGAAAAUAGGGUUCACCAAGUCGAGUUCACACCGCGUUUCUCUUGCGCAAACUCCACUUGCUGGGGGGCAUUUGUUUGACGGUAUUUUGUGAUCUUAUAAAUCCAAGGAUUAUUUGUAUUAUCAAGACAAGCAAACAAAAGAGCAGCUAUGAUCGUCGCAUUCAUUAAUAUGUGACUCUGUAUAUAGCUUGCUCAAUUGCAUGGGAUGCAUGAGCCAUGCACGUACUGGCAUAUGUAUGUCCUCCUAUAUGGCUAUACAUGGGUACAUGUGUUCAGCCAUAUAUACAUGCUUAGCUAAUCUAUACGUAAGCAUGCAUGCACAAGGAGACCUAAGUGACAUGUGAGCAGCUCAUAAACGAGCGCUCGUGACUAUAUAUGUAUUCACCGUACGUGCAUGUAUACGUACAGAAAUACCGGGUGGUUUCUAUGAGUUAAGAAGCAACAUCUAGCUACACGGUUGAAAUGUGAAGCUGCACGUGGGCCGGCAGCCCAUAGACACAUUGCGUUUUCAUCGUAUAUAUGCGAUUGUAUCAGAAUACAUGCGUACGCGGGAUUUCUCAACUGCAAGCUACUGAUGUGCGCGGCUAGCGCCGGAUAAACCCAACCAACAAACUUCGUCUUAUCCAGGUGAUUCGAAUUAGCGUGAUCUGCAGCAACGUCGCCCGGAGGUAUCGGAACAAACACGUGCAGCCACGUCGGCGCCGGAGUAUGCGCGCCCGUCCGUUAGGUUUUCCCAGCGCUUAUAAAAGCCAACGAGAGCUAACCAGCCAGGGCAUGGAGAAUCAUUCAUAAAACACACAUCCAUCCAUCCACACAUAUGUAGAACAAGAACACAAAGCAGAAGGGCACGCCAACGCGUGCGCUGACGGCCGGCGGCAGCCAACAGGCGCUCUGCCAAGAGACGGCGCCAGGCGAUCGACAUUCGUCCAGCCAUCCCUCUGCCCGGUGAGAAGACACGGCGCGCCAGCCGGCGGCUGUGGGCAGAAUGAGGAGGAGAGAAGCAGUACACGGACAUGGUCUCAUCUACACCAGCACACCGGCGGCGAGUACAGCUCCGUCCUUUUCUUUGUUUCUCUUUCGUUUUGCAGAUUGAUCAUGGAGGAGGAACAUGGAUGUAGAACCACAAGAAGAGAUCGAUCCAUCCACUCAUACAUAGAUCACAUGAGGGAACACACAGAGGCCUCGGCGGAAGGGUACGCCGGCGAGGGUACAGGCAGCCACCCAAUAGACGGCGCUAGGCGAUCGACAUCCAUGCAUCGAGAUCCAUCCGACUCCCAUCAAGAUUCAUCCACAGCUACUUCGCCGGAGCAGGAGAGCACGCCGCCGGUAGCGCUCGGCGCCGGUGUCCAGCAGAAGGACGUUGGAGGAAGGAGAGCAACCUGAACUUGGCCAAUCAACAAGCACGAGAAUUAGAUCAAUGGCUGCCCAAGGUAAAGGCUAACCAAAUAUCGUUCCUUUCCUGUUUUAUCUGCAGCACACAUGCAUGCAUGAGGAUAUUUCUACACACGGCGGGUCAGUGCGUGGUGCAUCGUCGUCGCUAGAGUUGUUGAGCCGACCCAUCUAUGGGCGCCACCUAUAAGCUUCGUCACGUCGGAGUUGAUGACAUGCCGUUCGUCCGCGAUACCUUCGCCUUCAUCACACGGCAGUCGCAGACGCCGUCGAGCCACCCACGUCCACAACUAGGCUGCUGCCUCACCAGAAAUGCUGUUUCGGGCACUAUUCACGCCAUCCCGCGAAGAUCGCGAGAGCUGCCAUGGGCGUUUGCCAAGGCGCUGCCGGCCGAGCGGUGGUCAUCCUCGCCAACUGAUCACCACCUGCCGAAGAUGGUCAUCCCCACGUCGCACUGAUGGAGCGUUGGGAAUAGUCGGAGCAGCCGCGGGCAUCAUCAAGCCAUCCCUAAUCCGCCAGGAGGUCUUGUCAGAUCCAAGGCGAAUGCCAUCAUGCUGCCCGCAUCCAUGAAUGUCGCCGAGUCGCCGAGGCGCUGCCAAGCAGUGCUUGUACCCGCCAAUCGAUCAUCUAUCGGGGAAAGCCGUCGUCCUCUCGCCGCCCUGCCGGAGCGCGCCGAAGAUUGCCGGAGCCACCGCCGAUUGCCAUGAUUUCUCCUGCUUCUAUGUCGGAGGUCAAGCAUCAUGCAUGGCGUCGACAACUAUGGCUGCAGCAACUGAGAGUGAGGGCGACAGCGACAGGAUGACGACGAACCGAUGCUGUUGAACGCCAUGGCAACAAGCUAGCAAAUGCACGCUAAUUAAGCUAAUUAUUGUGGCAACGUGGCCGACCAACUGGAGGGUGACACAUCAUCACCAUGCUUCAGUGCUAUGCACAAGAAGAAGUCGUCAACGCGAUGGCUAAACAAAUCCUGUUGAUUUCAAGCUUUCUCAAUUAGAUACCGAGCUGUGAUUAAAUCCGGCUGCCGUCUAUAUCGUCCAACUCGUCGGCGACACUCUAACGCUCGCCAUCCCUGCUCAAGCUACCGGUGAUGCCGUCUACCGGAUGCCGCCACGUCGUCGAGAUACACCAACGCCCCCAUCUCGCCAACUGCGGCUUCUCUUCCGUAAUGUGCGCCGUACCCUCGCCGGCGAUCGUCGGAGCAGCCACUAGUGUCGCCCGAGCUGUUUCUGAUCCAGGAGAUGGUGGCAGUCGCCGGGAUGCUCCUCGAGGAGCCGUCGACACAUGCCACCCUGCUGGGACACACUGAAGGUCCCCAGAGCAGCCGCGGACACCGUCGAGGUGCUCGUACACCGUCGUCAAGUCCAGCUGUGAUUCUUUCACUUCAUCACGGCGGAGUUGUCAUGUCGACUGAUCUGUUGGCGCUGAUCGCAAGCCUCCGUCAAGAUCGAUGCCACUCGUCCUCAGGACUGAUGCAAUCUGUUCGAGCUGCGGUGAUGAUUCUACUCGUUGCGAUCUCGCCGAGACGUUAAACGUCGUCGCCUUUUGCCGACCGCUGCCUCGCAACACCGUCAAUAUCUACCCACCCUCGCCACCGUUGCAAUCUUGGUGCCCACAAGCCGUCGUCAAGUCUGGCUGUGCUUCCUUCUCUUCAUCAGGCCGAGGUCGUCGUGCUGUCUGUCCACGAUGCCUUCUCUUUGUCACGUCGGAGCGUCAAAGUUCAGUGCCCCUACAUCAUCGUUGAGCCGUUCGUGAUGCCGUCUGGCCAUCCCUUCGUCACGUCGGAGCGCCACUGCUUGGUUCCCGUGCAUCGUCAUCAAGCUGAGGUCGUCGUUUCGUCCAUCCACAAUGUCUUUCUCUCCGCCGCGCCAAGGCUACGAGAUGCCAUCCGGCCGCGAUGCCCUUCACCUCGUCAAGUUGGAGUCGUCGUUCUGUCAUCACGCCAAGAUGAGAUACCGCCUGUCCGUGAUGCUCUCCCUCUUCGUGGAGAUUAAUGGUGUCGCACAUCCGCGUAUUGGAGCAUCGCUCAUCUACGUCAACCUGAAGAAAGAAUGGUGUCAUCUGUGAUGCCAGGAAACCAUUCGUGCUGAAUCUACUCCAACAAAUGCCCUUAGCCGUUCCGCCGACGAGGCAUUUACUUCUUCCAAGGUCGCUGUCAUUACCGGCGCCCUCAUAGAGCCCCUUUUACGGGCUCGUUAUCAUAUCAACUGGAUCAAUAGUAGAUCCAUCAUCUGAAGGAGGUGCUAAGCCAUGUUUGUCCGGCUGUCGUCUACACUGAUUUCUUCAUCAUCUUCAUUACAAGUCCCUGUUGUAUAAAGGGCAUGACAAGUUGGGAGGUGCCUAACCAUGUGUAAUUCGGCUGUCGUCUACACCAACUAUCUUCGUCAACUCUUCAUUACUUUGAUCUCAUCUAGCCAGAAGGUGCCCAACCAUGUAUAUUCGGCUAUUGUGUACACCAACUGACUUCACCAGCUCCUCUUCCCUUUAACACCAUUCUGAUGCCGUUGCUAUGACUUCUCUACCGUCCAAGCUACGCGAGUUCCAUGCAUGCUGAAGAUCACUAUAUCUACACCACCACGUCACUCAAGACAGAUGAGGCGGAGCGACGAGGGCAGGCGGAGUAUAAAUAAAGGCUAUGUCUCCAACACCGGCGCACGGACCGACGAGGCCGUGGAUCGCUGUCGGCGCCCACACACACAUCCACCAUCUUCACCAACAUUCAUCAUGCAUGGAGAACGUAAAGCGAAGACGACGAGACGACCACAAGCAGCUUAAUCGGAGGUUCUCCUGUAGGCCUAUACCUACAGGUAAUUAACUGGGAGCUUCUUGAGGCCCUAGGAACCAGAAGACCACAUCGCUGAUGUCAGAUCUGUCCAACGACAGGCAAAGGCACGCACAUUUUAUAUUAUACAUAGAAACUGUAUCUUGUUAAUUCAAUUAAUAAAGAUCACGUUUUUGUGUCUCUUUUGUGUUUGAUUUACAUUUUGUAUCUAGGUACACUGGCACGCCCGCACUAAUUUUCUUUCUAAACAUAGAGGGAUAUAUAUUCGUAUUUUUUCUAUCCUAAACAAUCACCAUUCGAGAUAUUUACGAGAGAUCACCAUUAUAAUUUUGCUGAAACAUGAGGUUUAUUAUCCAUUUGGUUUACAGUGAGACUAUCUACUUUCAAUGCUAGAAUAAACUACUCAAAGCAACGAGUUUGUCAACAAGAACAACCUCAAUGUCUUGGAGCAUUCCUUAAGUACGACAUCUCAUAAUUUUUAAUUUGGAAGAAGCGUGCAUUUUCUUUAUAGUCACUCUACAGUGACUGAAUAAACUAAAGAACAUCACAAAUCCGUCUUUCCUAUUUUUACCCCUAUUGUUGCCGCUGCAUGUUUUGCUUCUGUACAGAAAUAAUUAUGCCUACGUUGUUGUUCCAUGAUGCAAAUUGAGCGAGAGCUCAACUCAAGAAUUUAUUAUACACUUCCUUUUGUCAAGAAUGAUGGACAACUAGAUGAUUUUCAAUUGAAAUUAAUAUCUAUAUAUGAAACUAGUUAAUGUACCAAAGUUUAAAAUUUUGAAAACCCGUCUUGAUGUCGCUUGACACAACAUAGUUGCAUGAAGUUACGUGUUUGCAUGACAUUGGCUUGUCAUAUUCACAAUGAUGCUGCAUAUGCGGCCUUUGAUAUACGCUUGUUUUAGUAGUGGAUGGAGAAUCAAAGUUGAUUGCUGCAUCUUUACGUGGUCUGUAUGGUAUACGAUUUUGUUGUGGUGGAUUUAGUAUUUGUCAUAUGUUUUUUGUGUUUGUUCUUAUUGGAAUAAAAUGAUGGACAUCCUUUAUACACUCCAUUUAUAUCUAAAAUACAAAGUAGCUUCGAAUCAAAUUUAAGCGCACAGAAAAAUUGUGGAGUACCAAUCAUGGUAAUUAGCUACGACAAUGCACUAGGAUAUAUCCUUAUAGAGGCAAGCUAUUUAAAUAUGAAAGAUAAUUUUAUUUCUAUUUAUAUCACCUUAAGUUUCACAUGUCACAUACGAUGAUACCUGAGCUUAUAUUUUCACUUCCGAACUACAAUAUUGUGAAAAUUCAGUACAAGACACCGCCAAGGGUGGUAAUGCUACCGGGUGCACUAUAGUACCUAGGGUAGAUACCAUAUGUAGAUGGCAAGUUAAAAGCCAACAGUGCUUGAGCUUGAGCCAGAUUCCGGUCAAUGUAGAGAUCGCCAAACUGCUGUAGGUGUAGCUGCUGCGCUAUGGCCUGGACAACGUUAAUGUCCUGGUAGUGAGAUUGUUGCGCCACCAGCCUGAGCUGUUGCAAGACUUGGUUGUUUCUCACUUGAAACACAGCUGAUUGCAAGAAGGGGCUUGCCGCAAUGCUAUACUGCUGCCUUACGAACUCAUUAUAUAGGCUAAGCACCUGUUGCUGUAGCAGGAGAGGCGACUGCACCUGAUAUUGCCUAAUAUUUUGACCUAAAACAUCAAACUGCGCAGUGGCGCUGCAUGCAGCAAUAGCAAGGAGAGCAAAGACGAAAAUGAUCUUCAUUGUUGCAGGACACUAGUUCUUUUAAAUUUUUGUUGUAUAAUGCUUGAAUUGUGCGAGCGAUAAGGAGGGUUUUCAUGGAG